UCAAGAAGUGAGUAAAAGUGGAAGUCUUUUUCCCAGUGAUUGUUUCUUUUUACAACCCUUGUAUCAUUUCAUGUACUUGAUGGUUAAGGUGACCUAGCUACAAAAGAUGUAGGAAACCUCCAAUGACAACAAGGAACCACCUUCAUUAAAGUAGGAGCAUCUCGGGGACAGAGCUAGAAAUAGGAAAAUCAAGAUCCGAACAACAAGGCUAUACCUUCCCCAAUCACCUAAGGUAGGUCCUGCGCCAGCUGCCCGAGCUUCUCUACCGUCUUCUGUGAACCCAUAUGCAAUGGUCCCCGUGCCAGCAAUUAGAACACACCCAUGAAGUUUUCCCAAAGUCCCACAAGCUAGAGCUGCCACAGCAUCAUUCUGAACAUACAACCUUGCAUUGCUGGGGAAUACAUCCCUGUUCAUAUCAAGACAAGAUUAAAGCUUUUAGUACUAAACAUUAAUCUGAGAUUGAUAUGUGCCAAAACCAACAAGGGUCUGAUGAAAGCAAUAAAAAAUAAGCACCCAACAAGUAAAUAACUUUAAAAGUAAAAUAAAUAUUUAAAAAAAACACAUACAGGAACAAUGUGCGAUCAUAGAGACUUGAAAAUAAUACCUAAGCCAAUCUAAUAUCCUCUGCUGAUCAGUGGGAUGGUUGACACCAGAAACCGCCAAACAAACAGCUCGAACCGCCGACCGGUUCGAACCGGACUUAGCCAGCGCUUCAGCCAUCACCUGCUCCAAUGUAUCCCUUGCAGCAGCCUCUAAGGUUUAUCAACAAGUUAUUCAAUUAGAUCAGAUACAAAAAUCGAAACAGUUGCGAUCAACUGACGAACCAUGAACAGAAGAACAAUUACCGCCAACGCUGUUGUGGUUGGUGCAACCGGCGACUGCUCGAGCAAGAACGGGAACUGGGUCGGGGAGAGGAUCGGAGAAGGGCAAAAUCGGCAUGCAAAUGCAGACGGUGGAGGUGGUGCCGCCGUCUAAACCCAAGAUGACGUCUCCGGCGCCGGCGGCCACCGGCAUUUGGUUCUCAAAGUCCCAGACUUCGCCAUUCCUGUACCGCUUCAUCUGGGUUUUUGGUGGUGAUUGGAUUGAAUUGGAUUUGAGUGUUUGUUUUGACGAAUCAGAGCUUUAAAAGGCUCCAAUGGAGGCGUGCUCUCUCUGUCAAAGACACAUACGGAUAAUAGGAAGAGAACAAGGAAGAGGGUUGGGGGAGUCAGAUGUUUUUGGGACCGUGUUCAAAAGAAAAUAAUAUUCAUUUCAAAUGGUGGGGUUUUUUUUGUUUUGGUUCUCGGACGGCAAAAUGGGGGGCCAUAAAUAAAUUUAUAACUCAUAUGCUAAUGAUUAUUAUUUCUAAUUGAAGAUGCUUUAUGCAUAACUAGCUACUUGGCACAUGCAUGAUUUUUUUUUUUUUAAUUUAAAAAAAAAAAAUAUGGAUAGUUAUGUUCCAUAAAAAUAGAAUUUAUUAUUUAAUUUUACUUUUAUUUUUAUUUUUUUAAAUAUGAAAAAAUGUGAAUUUACCAUAUUAUUCUAAUUUAAUUAAUAAUUUUAAUUCUUAUUAUUUGAAUUAACCAAGAGCAUUUUUGGUAUUUUGAAUGUUUCACCAUUCUCUGUCUUUUGCUUUAUAUAUAUAGAUUCUGUUCUUUGAUGAUUUGGAAUUUUUUCUCAUAGAUUAUUUUCUUUACUUCUGUCAAAUUCUUUCAAAUAUUUUGUUAAAUUCUUUCAAAUAUGGUUUGGGACAGUUUAGUCGUAUCAUGGGUUGAUUAAAUUAUGGUUGUAUUUCUUUGCUUCCAUUAUCAUUUUGACGUUUUCAAUUUUUUAUUUUAAUGGCAUUCCAAACAUAAUUCACAAUAUCUAUUUAGAACUAAUCCCAUGGAAAGCUAAAAACAACCCUUGCAGCUAAAGCAAGAUGGUGCACUUGAAUUCACAUUUGCAAUCAACUAACCAAUUCAUGUACAUGUUGAACAGAAUUAUGUAUUGUUAAAGGUGUGGUAUGGAUAAGAAAGACUAUGCAAUCCUCCCAAACCAAAGUCCCAAGCUAAAAUACUGAUGACAGUUGCUCUGCUUCCAUUCUAGAAUGCAAGGCGUUGGCAAGUUGGGGAAAUGAGGGUUUUCCAACCAACGAUCAAGGUUCAAGCAGGAGGGCAUCGAUGUUCCGUUUUCCUUCUGGGCCCUUUGUGUACCAUGAUGACACAUAAUCUCCAUAAACAAUUUCCCGGUAGAGGGGAGGAGUUAACGCACUGGUAAGCUCAGAAGCAGGGGAUACUUUCACCGUCUUGGCUGGAUCAUGAAAUGUAGCAACUGAGAGCCGUGCCUGAUUGGAAUUGGUUAAAGCCCUAUGUUGAGCACUCCUGUACUUCCCAUUGGUCAUUAUCUGCAGGCAAGAUAAUCCACUGUUAGAGAAUAAACAUAAUUCACAUGAUUGCUCCACUUGUUCAAUUAAUUUCAUUCUACAAAACAAAUCCUAUGAAAGAAAACGCACUUGGAUCCAAAGAAUGACAAGAAUCCUGUAAAGCACAUGUUGGCGAUCCGAUUAUCAGCUUAGAGAGAAGACAUUGAUAGGUAUAAGCCUCAAGCACUGCAUUUUUUAGUUUCAGAUCGUCUCAGCUCAAGUCCACUAGGUACAAUCCAAAACUGAACCACUUAAAUCAGUACCUUUGAGUAUUGAUCCAAGGCCCCAACAGUGAAAGUCAGUUUCGUAGUGGUUGGAUUAAUUAGAGGUUCCUCUACAUGUCACAGUUAUUUGUGAUCUAAAUUAAAUCCAAUUAUUACGACAAAUCAGAAAGGACAAUGACCAAGCCUCAAUGUGUUCCAUGGGACCCAAACUUAAUAUCCCUAACCAAAUCAUAUAAGAACAAUGAAAAAACAUAGAAAAAUAAGUACAACUGAGGGUUGAUGUCAUGCCAAUGUCUAGAAAUAGUGGUUGUCAAUGACAUCAAACAAUUAGCAGCUUCAUUGAAGACAAAAUAAAGUGCUUAAAAAAAUUAUGGCUUAACCCUUGCACGAAGUGUAAAAGCAGGCCUAUGAUAUACAGUGUGACUCCUUAUAGACUGACAGAUUUUGCAACAUGUGAAAUUUUUAGUAUGUCAUGACCAACAGCAACUAAGAGCACAUAUACCAAGCAGUAGGUCUUAACUUGGUUGGCUACACAUACAGUCAACGUAGAGCCAUAUUAACCUAUGUUUAUUCUCAAACCAUUUGUCCUAAUUGACCAAGAAUGAACAAAAACCAAACCAAAGAAAACAAAAAUAAGGUUACUUGGUCAGCUUGUCCUCAGGUCCCCUCAAACGAAUACUAUAAUAACAGGCUGAAAAUCAAUACGUCAAGCAAAUAUAAAACAAAAACGAUCAGAAGCCUGGCCAAGACCGACAGAUAAGCACAACUACCCAGACAAAAACGUUGAUGUCUCUAGACAUAAUAGAACAUAUUGCUACCAGUACCACUUGAUUCAAUUCAAUAUCAUCGAGAAGCCUAAAAGCUAAAAGAAUACCAUGAAAUACACUCAUCACGAUUCAUCCACUGAGAGUUUCCUGGGAUUCAAGCAUAUUUUUAUCUGGAGAAAAUGUGAUUCGGCAAACUAUAAUUCCAAAGCAUCAUGGUAAUGGACUGAAUAUAUUUAAGAAGGCAUAAGCAUCAACUGACAACGACUCAGCUUCUCUUAUUAAUAAUAAAAUUAAAGAAGGCACAGUACAAGACACUUCUCCAUGCCUAUUUUAUUUCAGAAAAUCCUUCGAAUCUUUUAAUAGACUAAUACAAAGUCAUAACAAAGAAAGUUGAUCAUAGCAAUUUGACACUGUUCAAGAUAAGUUAAACUCACUGCAUUCUAAUUUCUACUGCCCUCCUUUCUUUCUCACCAAUUUAGCUCAUUUCUUUCUAAAAAUGAAAACUGCAAAUUUUUCAUAGUUUGGUCCGCUAAAAGAAGAAUACGAAGGUGUGUGUUUGAUGUUUGAUAGAUGAUGAGGUACCUCGGUUUGGUCAGCUAGAAGAACAACAAUGGCAUCACCACCCAAAGGCUUCACAGGAACCCACUCUCCGUCUUUAAGCACCUCAAGCCCACCCACCUCGUCCUGGACCAACAGCGUAAUCGCACCAAAAUCCGAAUGGGCCUGCAGGCCCAAAGUCAGCUCAGGCUGAGGACACGGUGGGUAAUAGCUGAUCGUAAUGUUCUGCCAAAACUCCCCAACCGCCUCCUCUAAACGCCGCGUUUCAAGCCCCAGGCUCUCGGACGCCAGCCCCAGCAGCUCUCGCGCCAGCGAAGCAAUUUGAUCGCUGUACUCGGAAACCACCUGGCGGUAAUCUGCGGGGAAAUGGGGCCAUCGCGUGGGGUUCCGGCGCCGGAGGGGGAGGGUGUGGUGAUCGAAGUAGUCCCUCCAGUCCAAAACGGUGUCGUCCUUCUCCAGCAUCCGGCUGCCGUAGCCCUCCGACGCCGACGAGCUCGGAUCGCACGCAUACUUGAGUUUGUCUUCGACUGAGCUGUCGUUGAAGAAGGUGAGGCCCGCGCGCUUGAUGGCGUCGACUAUGCUGGCAGGAACGCCGUGGUUGGUGACGUGGAAGGCGCCCCAGUCCCGGCAGGCUUGCCCAAUUGAGGCCCGAACUGAAUCACGUCGGGUCGGGUCGAGGCCGAAAAGGUUGAUGAGCGGAAUGUUGGUUGAAGAAGAAGGUCGAUUGGGUCGGUGCUGGGGAGGUUGAAUGUAUUGUGGCGGGACUUGGUUGAGGCCGGCUUGGGCUAAGCUUUGAACUCUGAUGGGCUCCGCUGAUAUUUCCAUUUCUAUCGAAUUGGAAUGAAUUUACAGAGAAAGAUACAGAGCGAUGUGAUGAUGAAGACGAUGAUACCGAUUUUAUAGUCCGGAGUUAUUCAAGCAUAUAAAAAACUGUGCUUUUUGUUAUUUCUUUCCCGGCAGAAAAUAAAUACGUUCAGUAAAGAAGCGCUGUAUUUACUGAUUAAUUAAAGUGAUUGGCAAAAUUUAUUUGGGUUACAAAAUUGAGCAACAUACGCUACGUCAGGAGAAAACUUACACAGCGAUGCUAAGUCAUUUCAAGCCUAUCAUGUAUUGUCAGUGUCGGUAGGGGCAAUCAAUGCGACGAUGGCCAAAUUUUAUUAUUUAUUUUUAAUAAAGAGUUAUAUUAUAUUAAUUAUAUAUUUUUUUAAUAUUUUAAAUAAAUUUUGAAAAAAAACAAGAAGCAAAAUGGGUGUUCUAACUCUUUUAAGCUCUAAUUGAUUGUAAAUUUGAAAAUUUUAAGCUUCUUGUUGUGGAGGGGGAUUUGAUUUCUCAAAUUCCAAGUUAUGUUGUUCUUUGUUUAUUAUUUGAAGUAUUAAAAUUUCAUUGGAUUUCUUUGUAAUGUUUCUAAUUUCAAGUAGCAAUGAUUCCUAAAAACAACAAUCUUGAAGUCAAAAAAGAAAAAGAAAUGAUUGAAUUGUUACAAGUAUUUAUCUUGUUUAUGCAUUAUAUUUGAAUGUCUCAAGCGUAUCCUCUUAUUUUAGAUUUUUAUAUAUUGAAAUUUCAGUUUAUAUAAUUUAUUUGACUUGAAUGUUAAAUUUUUAGUUAAAUUCAAAUAAGUUAAAUCUUGAUUGAAAACUGAGAGUGAGUCUAGCACUUCAAGAGAAAAAAAAAUUAUAUAUAGCUUAAGGGUCUACUUUUUUACAUUUGCCUUAGGUCCUGAAAAAUUCAAGACCAGCUAUGUGUAUUGUUAUGUCGAAAAGUUAAAACACAUAACAAUAGGCGAUUGGCUCGAAAUAGUGCCAUAAUGCUAUCCUGAUAUUGGUAAAAUUUUCUCACAUAUGAGAACUGUAAAGACCCAAACCUAAAAUUCACAUGUAAUUAGUAAUUUAUUAUGCGGAAAGACAAUUUUGCCCUUUGACUCACUUAUGAACUCAACGUUGACUUUUUGACCAAAAAGGAAUAUGACAAUUUCACAUACACCGUUGCGUAGAGCACGAUGACACGAGUUCAUAGACACGAAGUAAGCUCGAAUUGGAGUUUAACGAAGAAAAUACGAUUACAAUAUCACGAGGGGCAAAAUGGUAAAUUGGAAAAUCAGAUUUUAUAAAAUCUUUUCUCUCUCUCUCUUCCCCAUCAGUUUCUCUCUCCUCUCUCUCUCUCUCCCGCGCGCGACGUCCGUCGCCUCCUCCCUUCCCGUCACCACACCAGCCACCACAGGGCACGCCGAUCUCCGGCGUUGGUACCAGCAGCUUCGUCUCGCCGCCGCCGUCACGCCACGACCUGCCUCCACCCCUGCACCGGCUGGAGCUCGCCGGAAACUGGAGGAGAACCGCCGGUUUUAGGCAAAACUUCAUCUCCUUCGUUCUCUCUCAAUUCUCAACCAAAUCGUUCGAGUAAGGUAUGGAUUCUCACCUAUUUUUCAUGCUCUAGCUGAUGGUUGGAUAGGUUUUGAUCGAUUUCAGCCGUAGAUCACUCGAUUUUUGAAUUGAAAUUCGGCCGACUUUCGGCCUCCGUGUUCGGCCACUUCCGAUCAGUUUUUGGGGUAGGUCCAAGAAUAAAAGUGACUCCAAAUGGGGUGUUUUACCUAGGAUAGGAGUUUUGAGUCCUAGUUCCGCGAUUUUUCGACCACCCGAAAUUGCUUAAGACACCCAAAUCUUCCCGCGCGUGCUGGGGCGCGUGGGCGAGGGUGGUGAAGUAAUUUUGUACAGUUUUGUGACCCUUGUGUCGUCACGAGCGCGUAGGAUUUCGCGGAUCUCGAUUCGGAGUUCGUUUGAGCCCCGAACGGAUUUUUCAUAUCGCGCGAUCCUUGGGUGCAGUGUCGUCAAAUUGUUGGAUCACACUGAAUUUUGGAUAUGUCGGUCUACAUGAUUUCAGGAUCGUGUAGGAGUCGACGGAUUGCGAAUCGGAGUCCCGGAUACUCCGAAAUCGCGAACCCUAGGGCUAGGGUUUAGAAACUAUGCGAUUACACGGUCGUGAUUAAUCCGACCGUCCGAUUGACACCAAUACCCUCGGGACAUGUGUCCUAAAUAUAUUAGACCUUCUAGCGGCAUCCGGAUCAUAUUGUACCCGUGGGGUUCCAGAUUGACUUUUUGGACUUUAGCGCUUUUGAGUCCCAAGAUACCGCUAAACGAUCCCACGUGGAAGGAAAGCUGUUAUGGGCAUAGGGAUCACUUUAAAUUGACGCACGUACUUUUAGGAGCGGGGAUAGGGUUUUUAAUUUAAUACUAUAUUGUAUUAAUAGAAUAUUAUGGUCAUUGAAUCAGGCACCCGGGCACCAGUUGACCCGCAGGAGGGACCUUCAAGAGGUCCAGCGAGUUUGGACUAUCAGUGAGUGGACUCUUUGUUUUCAUAAAGGAAUUUAAGCAGUUCAAUUUCAGUUAUUAGCUGUUUUAUUCUGUUAAAUAUUUUAUGUUGCAUGCUGCCGAGUGACAUUUCUGUUAAAGACUAUAGAAACAGAUAUUCUUGUUCAUUAUCAGAUAAAUGGCAGCAAAAUUUUAAAGGUUACAGAAAGUUAAUUAUUCAACAGAUUUCCUUCAGAAACUUUAUAUUUUCUUAAAUCACCUUGUACCCAGUUAUUAAAUGUUGCCUUCGAUUUAUAGUGGUUGCCUUCGUUUAGUCAGCAUGCUUGACAGUUGCCCCACGAGUUCCUUGGUACUCGAACUCGUGUGGAGCGAGUAAUGCGGAUAAAGGUGGACUACGGUCCCCUGAAUCCUGCGAGUUGCGGCUCAGACUGACUUCGUGUCACUGAGACCUGCGAGUAUGUGUCACCCAUGGUGAUGCAAGGAAUUGACGGAUAUAAGGAAUUGACGGAAAUAAGGGUACACCAAGGUGAUAGUUUAAACUGUUUUCAAAUGUAUAGUUAUAUACAUGCAUUGAUUUCAGAAAUAAAGAAAAUAAGUUAGUUUGUAUAACUGUUUUUACAGUGGGGUUAGUAUGUUCAUAUAUUAUUUUCGAAGCUUUGUUUUGGGUCCACUCACCCUUCUUGUUGUUUUGCGCCCCCAGGCAGUAGACGUGCACAUGAAUCCAUCACCGGGCCACUUCCCAUCUUCCGUGCCUUUCUUUGAUGUAGGAUUUGUAUUUUGUACAACGAUUCACUCUUUUGUAAAUUCUUAGCAGUCGCUCUGAUGUUUUGCCCUAGAUUGAGUUUGAUCUCUUGGAAUGUAUAUAUACAUAUGCUGGCAGUUGGUUGUAUAUAUGUAUACUUGUUUGGCAUGUGUGAAUGUUUUGGUAUUGAGCCAGUUACAAGGGAAACUCUGCCGGUUUUUCGGUAGAAGUCAACCUUGUUAUUUUAUCGUGUUUUGUAUAGAAGGGCAAAUAGGUCUUUUGUGCCCGACAUUUGCCAAAUGUCGGACACGCACAGGGUCUGACUCGGAUUCCAAAGCGGAAUUUGGAUCGGUCCUGUCAAGAACUCAUAAUAACAUAAAGAACAAAAAAAAAAAAAAAACAUGCUUUUUGUACAAGAAUUGUAGUUGGUCUUCUUUGGUUUAUCAUUUGGACUUGGACACUCGUUUUUAUGUCAAAAAAAGGAAAAAGAUCCGGGUGAAGUAAUGUUAUGCAAGUAUGGAAUGCAGGGCUCAACUUUGGUGCCAAAAUUGACCUUAAAAAUUGACCAACAGUAAAAGACCAGGCCCCCACAGUAAAAUUUGAUGAUAAUACAGUGGGCUUGAACAAUCUGUGUAUCUGGGUUUGGUUUGACUGAGCACCUUAUCCCAAAUUCAUAUUCCCCUCUCUCAAUUCCUCUGUGAGAAAGACACAGCCUUUGAUUUGUACUUGAAAUUUUUUUUCCUCACAAAACCCACAAUGCCACCACCAGCCACUCUCUCAGCUUCAUCUUCCUUCACUCUCCUCUCUCCAUCUCCCUCCCCAAAACCAAAGUUCCCUUCUUUCUUCCCCAAAAGACACUCCUUCGCAAUCAACCCACGUCACCAUUCCCUCCACUCAGUUCCCUCCUCCACCGUCCGAUGCGCCGUCAUCGAGAAAGAAACCCCGGAGGCCCAGCGGCCCGACACCUUCCUCCGCGCCAACUCCUCGUCGUCCUCCGUGCGGGCCCGCUUCGAGAAGAUGAUAAGAGAAGCCCAAGACACCGUCUGCGCCGCCAUUGAGGCCGCGGACGGCGGUGCCACCUUUAAAGAGGACGUGUGGUCGAGGCCCGGUGGCGGUGGAGGCAUCAGCAGGGUCCUCCAAGACGGCGCCGUUUGGGAGAAGGCCGGUGUCAAUGUCUCUGUUGUCUACGGCGUUAUGCCUCCCGAGGCAUACCGAGCUGCCAAGGGUGCCGCCGCAGCUGAUCACAAGCCGGGCCCGGUUCCUUUCUUCGCCUCCGGAAUUAGCUCGGUAAUUUCGUGAGUUCUGCUCGUUUUGUGAAAAAAGAAAGAAGAAAAUGUUGGGUUUUUAUUUUGUUUGUAUAAUAUAUGGGCCUGCGGUUUGGUUGUGAUUGUUUUCAGGUUUUGCAUCCAAAGAACCCUUUUGCACCUACUUUGCAUUUCAAUUAUCGGUAUUUCGAAACGGAUGCUCCGCAAGGUAUGAAUGUGAUCAUUUCUCAUAUCUUUAAUGUGGAUUGCACAUUGCUUAGUUAGGUUGCGUUUGUAGGUAGGUAGGUAGGCAGGCAUGAACCCAGCUUUGGUGGUAUUACUAAUGAAGUAGAUGAUCUCUAAAUGAGUUCAGCAUUUUAUGUCAUGCUUGUGUUGAAUAAUGCAAAACCAAGGAUAUCAAAGAUUGGGAAAGGUAAAGGUUAAAUUUGGAUAUAAAUGUGUACGUGUUAUUAUGAUGAAAACUGUUAAACCCAGAAAACAUAAUUUGACGGGCACUAGAUUAUGCUCACAUGCUAGAAAUGAUAUGUUGAGAUUCUGAUUACUUCCCUUUAUGGGUUGAUUAACAAUCAGUAAUAAUGAUAGUUGCAAUGCUGAUAAUAAUACUAGCAGUUGUGAUAGUAGAAACAAUAAUAAGAUUGACUAUAGGGAUAAGAUAUUUCUUCUCGUCAGUUUCUGGAAAGUGUUCAGUCAGUGAUGUGGUAGAGAAGAUGAGGCAGAUAUCAUAUCACUAAUAAGUUUCUUUUUCCCUUGUCCCAUGCUUGAAAGUUUGCAUUUCCUUAUAUCACUCGUGUAUAAAUAAUUUAUGAAUAAGAAAGCUCUUUGGACCCUGAUUCGUCACAUUUAUGCAGAUGUUCCUGGAGCACCUAGGCAAUGGUGGUUCGGUGGCGGAACUGACUUGACACCUGCUUAUAUUUUUGAGGAGGAUGUUAAGCAUUUUCAUCAAGUAUGUAAAACAAAACAGACAACAUCCCUUAUGGUGUUUUGUGAUUAAAGUCCCACUUCUUUUGAAAAAUUCGGUGGCUUUAACUAACUGUAUAGUGGUGUUGGCCUUCUUCUGUAGGUCCAGAAAAGUGCUUGCGACAAAUUUGAUCCUACCUUCUAUCCUCGGUUCAAGAAAUGGUGUGAUGAUUAUUUCUAUAUUAAGGUAUAUUUCUUACUAAACCCUUUUAAUUGUUAUGUGUUAUAAAUUUGUAAUAUGGUGUUGAUGGUACAUAUAUCAUUUCUGUAUGCAGCAUCGAGAUGAGAGGCGAGGGCUUGGAGGAAUAUUUUUUGAUGAUCUAAAUGACUAUGAUCAGGAGAUGCUUCUUUCCUUUGCCACUGGUAUUGCUUGGAAAUAUAGAUUCUUUUUUCUUUUCUUUUUUUUCGGUUGUAUUUUCCAUUAAUUAUUUCCUACUAGUUGAGUGACUGCAUCCACUUCCUGCAUGCACUUCCGUUGAGUUGAAGAAUGUGCAAAUUCUGUGGUCCCUGCUUACAUACCAAUUAUAGAGAAAAGGAAGGAUCUACCAUUUACAGAUCAGCAAAAGGCAUGGCAGCAAUUGCGAAGAGGGCGCUAUGUUGAAUUCAAUUUGGUAUGAAGAGCCCUGAAGAUGUUAGUGAAAUUCAUAUCAGCAAUUAAUAUGCAAAUGAGGCCUAAUUUCCGUUUUCUUUUAAACAAAAGGUUUAUGAUCGUGGAACAACUUUUGGACUAAAGACGGGAGGUCGAAUUGAGAGUAUUCUUGUCUCUCUUCCACUGACUGCUCGGUGGGAAUAUGACCAUGUAAGCUUACUGGUUUUCUCUGUACGAUACUUUAUUUCUGGUACUACUGAAAAAUGGAGCGCCUUGAAGUUUUGAACUCAUAAUUGAGAGCAAUCUUAUUGUUUGCUGUGCAGAAACCAGAAGAGGGAAGUGAAGAAUGGAAACUGUUAGAUGCUUGCAUCAACCCAAAGGAGUGGGUAUAAUGUUCUAAAUGUAUGUUUGUAUCAUUUUGAGAUUUUUACUUCUUUUUCCCCACUCCUCGUCUUUCUUCUAUCAUCUUCCCUUCAAUUUUUUUCUUCAAUAGUUGAGGCUAGAAGUUAGCAGUCGAUAUCUUGUUGAAAAGUAAUCCAAUACAUGUUGAAGGUGAUGUGAGUUGUGAAUCAUGUUAGAAUUGUCAUCUUUUGUAAGACUGGAAACUCUUCUUGCCCAGUGAAUCUGUAGUCGAUUAAGAUUUCCCAACUUCUUCAUAUCCUGUAAUAUAAUCUAAUACAUGCACCGGGUGAUUUCGUUUUUUCCCCUGCACGGAAACAAGCUUGGAAAUGAGUACGAGAUUCUUCUCAUGUUUGGUUAGAGCACAAUGUAUCCUACAGGGGAAAAUCCACAUGAACAUGAGAAGGGUGGGUUUUCCGUUUUCAUGGGUUUUAAAACCCAUAUACAUUUCUUUGAUCAAAGAAACAAAAACCCAUAUACAUUUCCAAAAGGAGAUGGGUUUUCAUUCUCAUUUCUAGUCCUAGUUUUAGCAGCUUUGAAAUAAAAUGGUAAUGGCAAUAAAACCUUUAUAUUUUUACUUAAUUUGAAUUGAAUCAUCCAAGGGAGGCUUUAAUUUCCAAUUGUCUGGUGAAGCAUCGCAUGGUUAAUCAAAAAGUUGCUUAAUGAAAGAUCUUGCAAAUCAAGUGAUGUAAAAAUACGGGCAUAAAUGAAUGAAUUAAUUAGAAAGAUCUUGCACAGAUACUUACAUUAUAACCUAAACUAGAAAACUUCAAAUAUGUAUUAUAUGGACAUAGAAUUUUUCAUGGAGCGUAGGCCCCUCUAGUUAGAUGUGGUAUGAUGAAUGAUAUGCAAACUCCAAGUCGCAAGAGACUUGUAACUCAAGUAGUUAAAGCGAACAUAUACAAAGCGAAGGUAUUGACUCCAUAAUGGUGGUAUGACUCAGAUAUGUUUGUACCACUUCCAGUUAUGGGUGAAACUAAACUCUCUACGUACAAAAUGAUUAAUCAUGUCGAUACUCAUGUACAGAAAAGUCAUCAUACAGCAAACAACCAUCCUUGUAGUGAAGAAGGUAAUAGCAGUUGUCACAGAAGUAGCAGGGGUUCUCCUGAGCCCACUUGUCAUCUAUAGUCACCUGUGUUGCUCUAAAUAUUUUACAAACAUAACAUUUUCGUAUAUGUGGCUUCAGUUGAAAUAAGAGUAUCGGAUAGGCUGCCCUGUUUUGUACAUCCUGUGGAUGAAUCAAUCUCAUGUCUCUAAUUACAAUUGUAUGUCUGCAGUCUCCCUGUUUCAAAUCAUUUCCCCAAAUCGACAUCAACAACCGUCAACAGAGAUGCAUAAAAAGUUUAUCAAGAUUCUCACAUACAGAAAAAUACGUUGUAAAGCACAAAAUAAUGUUUCCCUUACAGAAAGGCAUGAAAAGAUGGCAAUAGAGAUCUGUACCUGGUGACAAUAUAGAUAUCCAGCACCAAGUCGAAAUUUCAAGUCACAAAACUGCGUCUUGUGCAUGUCAACGGCUCUGAAAUGAGGCAACUGUGAGCCCGUAACAUCACCUACAACUGCUUUUUGCUUCGUUUGCAAUCCUCCAGCUGCAAUCCAUUCCCAUUUUUUAAGAGCUUCGUCUUUAGAAUUUCUAAGCCAAUCAAAUAUAGGUUCACUAUAAUCUACUGCUGAGGGAUCCCUCAAAUCGUUGCACAAUGUAUCCUACAUAGGAUCAGCAAUAUGCUAGAUUUCAGUGCAAAUUCCGUCCUCAUCAUGAAAAUAAACAAUAAAUGGAUAGAUUUCUUACUUCUAUAAGGAAAUAUCCUGAAGGGUCAUGCUGCUUAGCCUUUUGCAUCACAUGGUCCGCUAAGCAGUAGAUCUUAUCCCUCAGUUCGGUCAAGGUUUGUUGUCCAAGGACCAAGAACUCUUGGUUCUGCAAACAAUCUUACUUCGUCAAUAACGGCAGGAACUUGAGGAAAGAAUUAUGUGAGUAAUGAAAAAGAGUGCUACAUAAAUAAGACAUGAAUGACUUGAAAUUGCUUUUAAUUCAUCUUUUCCCAGACUCAUAGAGGCAAAGAAAUCCUGUAACAGAAGGAAGGAAACCUAACUACUUUUUUCUGGUCUAUCUUUUCCCUAAACAAUACUAAAGAAGAAGAUGAACAUUCUCAGAGAACACAAGUCUGAUGAAGAAAAUAUAAAUCACAAGUCUAUUGGAUGAAAUUUUUGGUCUUGCUCCACUCGCAAUGGACUACCAAUUUAUUGGAGGUGACUCAGCCACAAGGGACCUAAAACCCUACCUGUAAGAACCUAGCUAACUCAAACCAACUCCAGAUUAAAAUGGAGAGACACAUCCAGUUGUUCUUUAGGCUUAACUCUGAGAACUUCCCAGUAUAGAGUUACACAUACCAUGACUUUCUUUCAUAUUUGUACAAAGAUUAAUAUCCCAAUCCACAGAGAAGCUCCCACUCAGGAAUGAAAGCAUCCUCAGCCAGCUAGGUUCGAGCAUGGAUAUCUUUGUUUCUGGAGCUUGUGGUCAAUGUUUGUAUCCUAUGAAGCGUGUGCUUUUUAAAAAUGAAGAAUUGCACUUGCACACAUCUCAAUUAUAGAGACAUAUCAGAUAUUUUAACCCUACAAAUCAGAAGCCCACGAAAAAUGCUAGCAUGAUACCUUGACUAGUAGGAACCAUAUAAUUGGCAAACAAACACCAAAACCAAAAGCUACUCUAUUUGACAUAAGCAAGAAGAUGCUAUACCUUCACCCAUUUUCGCGCAUUAUGGUAAACCUCAAUGGAAAGAGCAACUUCUGGAUAGUGCACAGGUACGUAGCCCUGAAUGUUGGAUGACUUUACCUGUUUGCAUAAGAGGGGGAAAAAAAGCAUAGAUAUUAUCAACCAUCUGAGAAGUCAGAGCCAGCAAAUUGAACAUGACUGCAUGAAAACAUUCACAAUAGGCAACUCUUAAGCAAACCUUCACUGCUGAACUUGCAGAUCUGAGGGGUUUCAUCCUAUCAAUUGUCCUUGAGGAUGUAAUGGCACAAUCAUUGACCUUCGAACUAGGGCUGAAUCACCAUAAGAAAAACAAUAAGUUGAAGAUGUGAGAAAAUUCAUUGAGUGAGUUACAUAGUCAUUCUACUAACUUGAACGAAUGCAGUGUCACAGCAGCUUUGUCUUCAUCUUGCUUCUCUUUGAUUCUUCUAACAUGCUCCACCUUUGCAAUAUAAGUUUCCUGGAAUGUGGCAGCAAUUAAGUUGUGAACAUGAUAACAAAGAUAUGACUUGAACAUAAGCAAGGACAAUGAAAAAUGUAAUGCAACGACAAGAAUCCUAGAUUGCAGGACCCUUACUAGGCAUGCAGUUGGGAAACUUUUUGGGAGCUUCAAAAAGUCUCUGCUCAGCGCACCUGGGGUCCUUGAAAAAUUUGCUAACUUUCUCAGUUUACCCUCAUUCUCUUAAAAAAUUCCCUUAGGUGGUACAUUAGCCUUUAAACUAGAUAGGUCUUCUCAUUCAAAUUUUACUAUUUCUUGCACCCACCCAAUUUUCAACAGUGUGAUGCCUAGGCUUUCAAAAUGAAGGAAGAUACAGACUUAAUAUAACGAGGUACUAUACCAAGUACCAACAAUUCAGAUAAAUACAUUAGCAGACACGGAGAAGGCAAUAUCUCACCUCUAGAUCAUGAUUCUUUGCCUUCGUUCGUUUUCUCUUCCUUGAUUUCUUUUUACAGGCUUCGUCAUUUGAUGCCUCGUGAUCCUUUGAUCUACUGAAUUAGGCGUAUAAAAAUCAAAUAAUGGAUAAAAAACAAUUUGGAAAUACAUAGCAGAUAGAGAAUACUCGUCAAAGUAGAAAAGAAGACUAUAAUAAGACAUAUGAAAGAUUCAGUUAAAUUUGUUCGCUUAUGUAUAAAUAUGACUCACCCUUCAUCGGAAGGCUCUUCUGGAAUAGGCGAAAGAUUGGGGGAAUCUUCAUUGUCCUACAAUCAAACCCAUGAUAAAGCCGUAACUUGUUAGCACAAGCACAGCUGUAUUAUUUAUCAGAGCUUCUUCAAAUCACAAAAAAACCCUAUGUAUAAGUAUGAGUGUACCUUAAAUGCUUCCUUGAUAGCCAUAUCCACCAACUCUUCCUCAGUCAAGAUUUUGAGCUCAUCCACCCUGCACAACAAACAAUACCACUGUGAACCAAAACCUACCAGCUAAAAUUCAAGAUGCAAAACCCAAGACAAAGGAAAGUAAAAAUGCUUACGAAAUAUCUUCGUCUAAGACUUGGGAUGAACUUGAAGAUACUUCAAAUUCUAAAUCCUGCAAAAUAAGCCCGGCACAACUUUAAACUUAUGAAUCAAUCAAAAAUUAGCAAAGCAAUAACAGAACUAUCAAGAACUCAUCAACCAAGAGUACCUGAAGUUCUUGAACAAUAGAAGACUGGAACAAAGGGACACUGGUGAGGGAGCCCACCAGAUUGGGAACGAAGAUGGGCCCACCUCUGGGAACUGAGAGUUCUUCCUCUUCCUUAUCACAACCAUUGUUGUUGUUAUUGGUGUGUUCUUCGUCUUCAACACUGCAACUGUCACCGUCAUUCUCUGCCAUAAUCUAUCUUCUUGUGUAAAGUUUUGAACUUUAAUUACACCAACAAAAUGCAUAAACUAUAUAUCUUCUCAAUAUUCAACGAAAUUAAAGAAACCCAAUUGGGAAAGCAGCAUACGAAGUGAAGGGAACAGUUGGUUUCAUUUACAACAAAAUUUGAAAAAAAAAAAUAGUAUAAAUACCUGUGAGGUGAAGCCUAGGGUUUCUGAGAGAAAGAGAGAGAGAGAGUUGAAGACAAAAGUGUCUCUCUUUGCGUCUCCCGGUUAACCCCCCAAACAAACAGUUUGUUUUUACAGUGAAUAGGCCUGGGCACGGUUUGGGUCGGGUCAAAUUUUGACUGACCCGUGGGCCAAACCGACCAAGACUGCGGUUCUCGGGUUGGAUCGGGUCAAAAAUGAAACCCGAAGUUGGGCCAACCCGAACAUACAAGGUUCGGUUCUGGUUUUUUGGUCGGUUCUGGGUUGAGCCCAAAAUCAAUUUUUUUUUUUCUUUCUAAAAGCCCAAUAUUGUUGAAUUUUUCAAAAGCCCAAUAUUGUUUUUUUUUUUUUAACAAUAUCAGUUUUUCAAGCAGCCCAUCAAUUAAAGGUUUUCCUUGCCCAAAUUAUGUAAAUUCAACUAUAACCUGUUUUUUUUUUUUAAAGUAUCUAAACUAUCAAAUUAAAUUUCACAAUCAUCAUAAAACUACGAAAUUAAAUUUUACAACCCAUGACCAAAAAAAAAAAAAAAAAAGUAAAGCACCAAAUAUAUUCACUUGUAUCAGUUAAGGGAGCUGCAAACAAAACAUGUUUUGCAGCUCCCAUGGCUUCUCCAUCAUCAUUGUUCCAAUUCGACAAAGUGUCAAACCUGCAUCCUGAUCAAAUAUCACAACUAUAGAAUAUCAGAGCAGGAAAUGAUUAGUUCUGCACAAAAUGACAGAAUCUAAACCUUUGAAAAACAAAUAUAGACCAGUCAUUCAAUCAAUAAAUAAUUAUUCAAUAAAAAAAACUAAUUAACCCAAAUAUUAGCAUUCAUUCAUCAAUAAGAUACUAACACAAACAUGCUACAUAAGGAAAAAAGGGAGAAAACAAAUAAAAGAAUGAAUGCAUUUAAUCAACAACAAGUUAAGUAGAUUCAUGCCAAAAAUACAGAUUCAAGACAACUCAAUUAAAUAAAUUGAAACAGAUUCAAGGCUACCAAUCGAACCUAAAAUACACAGAUAAAAAAAUCAGAAAUUAAAUCUGAAAACAAUGAAGAAAGCAUCCAAACAUAAACAAAACUAAAUUCCAUGUAUGUCUACGUCUAGGAAAAUGUAGUAAUAGAGUGCAGAAGGGCAAAGCUAAGCCUGAAUUUCAUCUUUCAAAUUGAUGAAAACCAUAUUGCCAAUUUAUUCAUAAAUUUUAUUCAUAAUCGAAAUCAAUUAUAUUAAUACGAUACCUCAGUGCAAAGACACAAUUCGGGGCAAUUCGGACCACUGUGAUCAUGUUACAAAGAACAAAUUAGAUAAUUCACAACACUGAGUACAGAAAAAUUGAACAGAGUAUACAAUGAAAUCAUUGACAUGAAAAUGUCAUAGUAUAAGAGUGCUUACCAGAAAGCUGCAACGCAACAAUCUGCAGAACAAACAGAACACAGGAAGAUUAAAAUUGAAGGUCAGAUCAUAUUCACAUAAAGAAAGAAAAUACCAAAAAUCCAUACAUCUAAAGUAAAGCCAUAUGGAGCUGAUGAUUUAAAAAUAUAUAAUUCUAAUUCUCCCAUUCCUUUUAAGCCACACACAGAGAUUGAGACAGAAAUAUUUAUACCUUCAAUUUUGCCUAUUAAUCCAAACCCACAGAGACUAAGCACAACAACUGCAAAAUUAAGAAAAAAUUGCAUUAAUUUCAACAGAAUACCAAAAUUUCGAAACCCUAAUAAUCUACUAAAUUAGGGAAAAUGAAAACAACUAAGAAUCCAAACUAAAUACAUACAAAUUACCUUAGAAUGAACCAGAGCCCUCCAAAAUUUACAAGGAUUCGCUCCAAAAACCAAUGAUAUUGGAUUGAUGUUUGGUUAGGUUUGGAGAAAGAGAAUGAGUCUCGCGUCUCUAAGAGACUUAAAGAUGUGACUAAGAGAGAGAGAGAGAGAGAGAGAGAGCGAGCGCGAUAGAGACGAGUUGAGAGAGAGACAGAGAGACAGAGAGGGCGCGCGAUAGAGAUGGCGGCCGAUGAGGUAGGGUUAGUCUCAGAUCGGGAGAGAAAUAGUGUAGGGUUUCGUGAGUGAGUGAGAGAUAGAUACAGAGUGAGUCUGAGAGGGUUAGUGAAAAAAUAAUAAAUUAAAAUUUGAGAGAGGUUCUGAUAUAGUGCAAGCAGACCCACCCAAAGUUCUUAUUUAAGCCAAUGAGACAACGCCAUGUGUCAAAUGCAUAUAUAAUUAAAUAAUGGUCGGUUCGGUUCAGGUCCAACGGUUCAAAAAAUUUUAGACCCGAAGCCUGAACCAAAGUCAACGGUUCGGUUCAGGUCCAGCGUUGACUUUUUCGGUUUGGUCAAAAAAACCUUAUUUUUCGGUUUGGUUUGGUUUGGUUCGGUCGGUUUGAUCAGUUUAUCAGUUUUUAUGCCCACCCCUAGUAAAUAUGUUGCAGAACGCGGCAAAUGUAUGCCUGGUACUUUCUAGGGAGUUUAAGCAGUUCGCAAUGUGGGCCCCACUCUCAACAGAAGAAGAGAAAGGUAAAGAAGGUUUUUAUUUAUUUAUAUUUAUUAUUUUUUUAAUUAAUUUUUUUAUAAGGCUAAAUUACUCUUUUUAAAAAAAAUUUAAAAUAAAAAGAAAAGAAAAGCAUGCCGCAUACUUUAUUUUUAUUUUUUUGUCUUUCGUGAGGUAAGGGGACGGAUGAGUAUUAUAUGGGAUUGCCUCAAGAUUGUCUCCAGUUUGAAUCAACUUUGAAAUUAAUUUUUCACAUAAACUUCUUAAAAAAUAUAUAUAAGAUGUUUCAUAUUCUUGCCAUCUGAAAACUUAAGGCAUUCCAUAGAUUACAACUUGAAUAGUACAUAUCAUCUGCUGUUUUUUAAUUUUCUAAUUGGAUCUCACAAACUUCUUGAGAUAUAGCAUCCUUCAAUGGGUUCUUCUCUUUCUCUUUGUUCUCUCCCCAGAGAGUUGUAGACAAACCAACAAUAAUCAAGGAAGCUCCUAAAAUACUGAAAAUGUUCACAAAUAAUAAAAUAUAUUUUAAAUUGAUAGCAACCCAGAAUUCCAAGUAAGUGAAUAAAAUAAAAAUAAAAAUUUCAUACCUUCCCAAGUAUAUAGCUUCUCUUAAAACGAAUAGCCCCAUUAUAGCUGCAACAAUUGUGGAUAGUGGUCUAAAUGCUGUCAUGAAAACUGGGCCUCUUGUUUUUACAACUAAUGUUUGCACAUAAAUGGUGAUUCCAAAAAUCAAAACUCCCUGCAAAAAUUUCACCUCAUCAAACUUCCAUGAGCAGAGAAUCUUUACCAUUUGACAGUUGAAGACCUCUUCAGAUUCUUACACUGUACAAAGGAGCAAGAAGUGUACUGUCCCAUGACAGCUUCCAAGAGGAUGCUUCAUGAUCUAGAAUUGCUGCCAUGAUCGCCGUGAGUAGAGUCCCCGAUAAGCACGUUAUCGAUGUAAGAGUAAUAGGUGCAGGAUACAUUUCGAUUGUUAUUGUCUGCAUCAAUCAAAUGUAUGAGUAUUGUAAGUAACUGCCAUGCUAACGGAAAGUUGUUCCUGUGACACUUUGUUUUUGGUUGUAGUGGUAGAAUAUGUGUGAAGCACCUGUAAGAUGUAGAAUGCUGAUGAGGAAAUAUAUGAAACAAGAAGAAAAAGGGAGCCCUUUAUCCAGUCUCUGUCUACGGAUGAUUUGGAAGUAGCAGAUUGAUGGGAGGCUUGAGUGUGCAUUGAAAUCACAGCAAUUCCCUUGUAUAGCGUCAUCAGUGCUGCACCGGCAAAGGAGAUAAGAGUUCCCCCAAUCUUGGCUUGGGUACCAAGCUUUGUAAUGUCAAAUUUUUCCAUCCUGAGUACAUAUCAUAGUGUAAAUCCUUAAAUCAGAAUGCAAUAAUGCUGUGAGUUCCUUUUUAUUUUCAGUGCAAAGGUAUGCUCAAAUGCAAUGGUGAUUGGACAUAUUGACCAAAUAUAUUUCAUACCUGCACACAACUGCUAUGAUAAAGGUAAUACAUGGAAUAAGGUUGCUCAUAGCAGCUGCAAUAGCUGGUGAAGUGUAUUCCAGUCCCAUGUAAUUCAAUGUUCUUCCCAACACUCCUCUGAAUUACACAGGAAGAUGCAGAAAAUUAAUAUCAAUUUUCAUUUGUCUGAUAAUUGUCCAACAUUAGUUGGGGAUGACUUGUUAAGAGGUUAACAAUUUACUCACCCCAGCAGGCCCAAGAAGAAGACAUUUCGAAUUAUCGGAACACUGAUUUUGCUCUCAUUUUUCCUGCACGAGAUAGGUUAUGGUUAAUCAGACGACAGAGGAUACUGUUCAUAUUGGAGGGGGUGCCAUAUUUUUAUGCAGGCUAUGGAUGAAAUCAAAUGGAAGUAAUUAGAAGAGUUGUGUUGCAAACUUCUAACAAGGCAACAAAUAAAGAAAGAGCUUUGGACUUUAGAAUCUUAGGACCAUGAGUUAUAAGAAGAAUGAAAACUAAUAGACCUCUCAAAAAGAAGUGCAAGAAGAGCAGUUGCUAGCGUUCCAAAAGCAUGGCCAUAAACCACAAGCACAUAACAGCUCAUGCCUUUGUCUAAAGAGACCUUAAUGACAACAGGGAACCCAGCAAAGCAGAUGUUAGCAAAUAUACAAAGAAUGUAAGGUUUUGACACCUCCCUCUUACUGCUUCCUCCUUUCGCCCUGUCGUCCUGCUCUUCCGUUUGCAUUUCCAUUUUCAUUUAGCAUGUUGUUUUCACCAUGACCCCAUUUUAUACCAAUUUGGGGGAAUUUAAGGAAGAAAAUUAUCUGCUACAGAUAAUUCUGUGUUUCCAGAACUCCUAAGAAGUUUUAUCAAGUUACAACUUUCUACCAAUUAAUCUACUUAAUUUAUUUUUGUGGUCAGCAUCAGCAUCAGUCUUAAUCUCACUUACAUACUCAACAUCAUACAUGACUUUCUCUUUGUCCUUCUGAUUGAUUUCAACACUCACCAAUCUUUCAUUUCCACAUACAACAUCAUUUGAUUAUUGUGACUUUUCCAAACAUUUUGUAGUGUGACUUUUCCAAACAUUUUGUAGAAGAAACGAAAACCCGCGAUUGGAGGAUGGUUCUAAUAUUCUUUACUUAUAUGAAGGGACACUUGAAAAUUUGUAGAGAUUAACCAUUCAAGUUCAAACAUUGCACCAAUAAUUUUCCCUUACCAGAACUAAAUUGAUUUUGAUAAUUGGGAUCACAUUUCUUAUAGAAGAAAAGAACAUCAAUUAUUGAAGAUUGGUUCAGAUAUAUCACAACAUAAAGGAACAGUAUCCAUUUGGGGGAUAUUUCUGUGUUCCUGAUAUAUCACUACUUACUUUCUUCUUCUUUGUUUUUUUUUCUUUUAAGAAGAGGAAAGUGCUUUGUGACACCUCAAGAACUAUUAUAAGAAGUGACUCAAUUAUGAGUUGGGUCUUACCAUAAGUUCCUCCUUAUGCGUUGUAGUUUUUAAUGUGCCCAAGCAGUGUUUUAUCAAGUUACAACUUUCUACUAAUCAACCUUUUAUUUGAUCUAAGCAGCUUGCUCAGAUAUGGCAUUGGCAAUGCUCAAAAUAGCUUCUUCUCCCUUUCUGGUUUGCCUUUCGCCCACGAAAUGUGUACGAGCAGUUAUCUAUGUAACUCACACGAUACUGAGAAUGUUCAAGAGUUGAAAGUGUAGGAUACCACAAUUCAAGAAUAUGCUCCUUCGCUGAGCAAUAGAUACAUGACUUAGAAUGCAUGCCCAACCAAAUAUGAAGAAGCUUGUAGGCUUAAAAGACUGUAUGUCUGUCUGUCAUUCAGGUUGAAUGAAUAUGAAUUACAGAGCAUGCUCUUUUUCUUUUGUUAGUUGGUUCCCCAAUAAAAAACAAUCCAAUAGUGCCAACAGGGCCUAGCCAAGUAUAAAAGAGUCUUAACUUGCAGGCUAAAAAUUUCAUGUUUGAAACCCAUAACAUCUUGAUUGAGCGUAUGAAAAAUCAUCUCCCUUAUAGUUUACUAUCAUUUGUGCUUUAAAAAAAACAAACAAACAAACAAUCCAGAGAAAUAUACAUAUUUUUUUAUGAUAGAGAAUUUGUUUUUUUUUCAUAGAACAUGUAUAGUGGGAGAAAAUUUCACAGUUCAAUCAACUCACCAACAAGCUAUUCUCUUUCCAAUAAUAAGUACCCAAAUGAGUGUUGUUAAACCCUUUUUCUAAAACCCUGCAAAUUAAAAUAAAUAAAUAAAUAACUUAAAAUAAAAUAAAAAUAAAAAACUCCAAAUCAAAAGCAGCCUCCUUCACUCCCCCUCUCUCCAUUUUUCUGAUUCCUGAUCGAAGCAAAGCAGUGAACAUGAGUGCCUAUCUCUCUCUUCGCCACCGCUCUUUCACUUACCUCAAUCGCCACCUCACAUCCUCACCCUUCUCCACCACCACCUCCAAACUCCCCACCCUUUACGAACCAGCUGCCGCCGCCACCCAAAACGACGACGUCCCCACCACAACCCUCCAACUCCUCUCAUGGGGCAGAGGCGCCUCGGGCCAACUCGGCGGAGGAAUCGAAGAACUUCGUCUCUACCCAACCCCUGUCGCCAACCUCGUCGUUCCCGCCUCAUCCUUCACCCUUUCACCAACCCAAGGCCGAAUUCAAAUACCCAAUUGCUCAGAAACAAAGAACAAUGCCCAUGGCAGUGUUGUAGAGGUGGGUAUUUCUUGUGGGCUUUUCCACUCGUCGCUGUUGGUGGAUGAAAAGCUCUGGAUUUGGGGUAAAGGCGAUGGCGGUCGACUUGGGUUUGGACAUGAGAAUUCUCUGUUUCUGCCCACUUUGAACCCGCAUUUGGAUUCGGUUCGCUUCGUAGCGCUUGGUGGAUUGCAUUCUGUUGCGCUCACCUCCCUCGGCCAGGUCUAUACUUGGUCAGUACAAUAGUAAAGACUAGGCAUUUCUUGCAUUUCAUCACAUGUUGAGUCGCAUUACAUUUUGUUGAUUGCAAUAGUUGGGUUCUCUUGUUUUGGUUUUUUUAUCUGCACAAACAUUUAUGCUUUUUUCUUCUUGGAAGAAGAAUAGCAAUAUGGUUGCAAUGAGCAGAUUCCGUCCAUAGCUUGUAAAGUUUGUAUCAAGGGUAAUAGUUUCUAGUCUCGACUAUGUGCAAUUCAAGGUGGUGUUUGAGGAAGAACUGGCCCAAUUACAUUUGCUUGUCAUGUGUUGAAAGACCGAUUUGCUAUUUUAACUCUCCAACCCACAUCAAUUUUACCACAGUCCGCUUCUUCUAUCCAUUUGAUAUAAUUAUUGUUUUCAUGUCCACUGCAAAUCUUUUAUGUUCAUUGACCAUAUUGCUCUAUUGAUUCAUGCUUUUGGUUGGAUAACUUCAUGGUUGUCGUUAAACAUGAAGCUUGCAGGGGUUAUGGUGGUUUUGGUGCACUUGGACAUUCUGUUUAUACUAGAGAAUUGUUCCCUAGAUUGGUGGAAGGCUCAUGGAGUGGGAAAAUACAUCAUAUUUCAACUAGUGGGACACAUACUGCUGCAAUCACGAAAUCAGGUUUGUUACUGGGAUCUUUCAUUGGAGUAAAGUGGUACUGUCUGGGUGCAACAAAUUAAUGGACUCUAACCAAGAGGAUAGGAAUAACUUAAACUAGUAGUGGAAGUAUGUUGCAGAUGACAUGCUUUUUCGGUUUCUUACUCCUUUCUGGCUUUAAGCAUUUAUUGUUGUUUCCGGGAUGAAGAUUUAUGUUUACGUGUUUGAUUUGUCAUUAGAUAUCUGGGUAUUACUCAUUGGAUGUAGCAUGUAGGAGAACUUUAUACUUGGGGUCGAGAUGAAGGGGAUGGUAGAUUGGGACUUGGUCCUAAUCGGGGCCCAAAUGAGGGUGGUGGACUAAGCAUACCCUCCAAAGUAAAAGCAUUACCUGUGCCUGCGGCUGCUGUUUCUUGUGGAGGGUUUUUCACAAUGGUACUGACAGAAGAUGGGGAACUUUGGAAUUGGGGAGGUAAGGUUGUCACAUCUCAUGUGGAAAACUUGUUAUAAAAGAGUUAUUUAUAAACCACCACCACCCCUCCCCCCCCCCCCCAAAAAAAAAAACAACAACAACAAAAAGCAUGGAUUGACCUAAUAUACUGUAACAACAUAAUUCCAAUGCCAAAUAAGUGUUAUUAAAUUAUUGUAAGAAAUGGUGUUAUAGUUUUCAAAUGUUCUCCCAGAUAUUUGCUUCAUUAGUCAAUGAGCUUGUGCAAAUGAAUUUCAAUUUGCAGAUUUGACAAAUGGAGAUUGUCAUAAGGGGGUGGUAUUUAGUUUAUUUUAGAGAUCAUAAAGUCAUUGGUACUUCUAUAAUGAGUAGCAUUCUUGUUACUCUUCAGUAAGGGGUUAUCUAAUUGGCUCUUGAUGUUAUUGUCAUCUUUGACUUUGACUGACUUCUAAUUGCUCCACUUUUGUGAAGCUAAUUAUCGUGUUUUCUUGGUGUUUACUCAGCAAACUCUAACUAUGAGCUUGGAAGAGGCAAUAAGGUUGGUGGUUGGCAACCAAAACCAGUUCCUAGUCUUGUAGGUGUCCGUAUCAUUCAGAUAGAAAGUGGUGGAUAUCAUUCUCUUGCGUUAACUGGUAAUGUGACAGCCGUGUCUCAUGAUUGCAGCAACAGCACUUGCUGUCUUUAUUUCUUGAAAGGUUAAGUCUUAUGUAUGGCCUUUCUUUCUUGAUGUUUAAUUUUUUUAGAUGAAGGUAAAGUGCUUUCAUGGGGACAUGGUGGGCAUGGUCAGUUGGGCAACUCUUCUAUCCAAAGUCAGAAAACACCUACAGUUGUUGAGGCUUUAACUGACGAGCGUGUCAUCUAUAUUGCUUGUGGAGGUUCAUCUUCAGCAGCUAUAACAGGUCAGAUGAUUCUUGUGUUCUCAGAUACUGUAAUCUAUUAGGUCUUAAAAAUAUUUUGUUACGUCGCUCAAAUGUGUAAAUGCUGUGCAGCCUCUAAUUACAUUCCACCAGGGUGUCUCUUUACAGUGAGUAAUGUGCUCCUGUAGUUGACACACAUGUUGAUUUUUUCUUUAACGAUUUAUUCAUCCAAUAGAAGAUUUGUAUUCGGCCAUGCCUUUUCAUUUGGUUUGCUAUGCGUUGGUAGUGUUGGGGAUUGAAACUGAGACCAAAAGAAAGGAUUAAUUUAGAAUAUUCUGGAAACAACUGAAGACUUAAAGGACAUCGGAUUAAGAGCAUCGAUAAUUCUUGGUUGCAUAAUUCAAGAACAUGGUUAGGCUGAUGUUCGGACCUGGUUCAAACUAGCUUACUUCAUAUUUUCAUGCAUUUCCGAUUUGAAAUUGAAUGCCCCCGCCUUUUGUUCCGUAACAGAUAAAGGAAAGUUGUAUAUGUGGGGAAACACCAAAGAUUCUCAAUUAGGAGUUCCUGGGCUUCCAGAGAUACAACCAUCCCCUGUUGAAGUCAAGUUCUUAAUGGAGGAUGAUGGAUUGGGACCCCACAAUGUGCUGUCUGUUGCAGUUGGUGCUUCUCAUGCCAUGUGCUUGGUUUCAAGGUCUGACUGUUUCAGUGUGAUAAUUAUUAUGAUUUUCUUUUUUCUUUUUUCUAACGUAUAAAUUCUGUAACAGGGAUGGAAUGUCCAACUGAGCUGAAAUGGAGGAGAAAAUGGAUGGAUAGCUAUGAUUCAGAGGUUAAACUGAUUCAAGAUGAUAAAUAUUAUUCAAGUGAGAAAGAGUAGACUUCUAGCCAGGAGAGAGUGAGAGACGAACAAAUGCUAUACAGGAGAUCAAAUGUGAGCACAUUUGAGCGCCAGAAGUUGCUGCCCCUACUCCGUCUGGCAUUAGUACCGCAACAAUUUGUGCAAAACUCUAUGAAACCUCACUUCGAAAUGCAACGGCUCAACGCCGUUCUGCAAGGAUAUGCUGACAAUUGACAGAACUCAGUUAUUGUAAACACAUGAGAGAUUUCCAGGUUCUUUAAAUUAUUGGCAGAGAUGUAGUGCCCCAUAUUCUCUCCGAGUUACUAGAAUGCCUCAGGCUGGGAAUUUGGCCCAACUCUUUACUUCGUUUUUGUACUACUUUUGACUGGGGCUGUUCAGAUACUAACUGCAGUUCAGAUGAAUAAUCUGUUCCAAAUCAAAAUAAACUUUGUUUUGUGUUCUCAUGAUUUCUUUACCUACUUGUGGGUUUUUGGAAGUGUUUUUUUCCUUCCCUUUUUGUGAUAUAUUUUUUGGGUAAAACCUGCAUACGGGUUGUAUCUGUGAUUAGCUUGGUACCUUCACCAUCAAAAAUGGACCCUACGGUUUCUAAACAUCAUGGUACAUUCACUUGGCUUGCCUUCACAGCUAUCAUCUGCUGAUGUGAAUGAGCCUUCACUUGUCGCUGUAUAAUGGAAACCCUAUGGUUUUGUAGCUUUCAUGACACAGUUGCUCAUCAUGUUCCUUGGCUCCGUCUUUCUUGUGGCCCCUAGAGCAAUUGAGCACAAGCAUUAACUUGUAGGAUUUCACUAAGAUUAACCGCCCACGUCCGCGGGUGAUCUAAUGUGAGUCUCUUAAUAAUCAAUGAUUAGAAAUCAUUUACACAUAUAGGCGACUGAUCUUAGCAUACUCUUAACCUAAAUAUAUUGAUGAUACGAAAUCAAAAGAAAGACCGUUGUCCUCGUCCACUCGUGACUAUUGGCUCUAGGUGGUGGCUUGGCUCUUGGGUAAACUUCAUUUUUUGCUCAUAAGAUGAAACGGGUUUUGGUUGUCUUUGAUCCCCACAGUCAAAGGAGACAGUGUGCACAAUGUGGACCACCAAGCUGCAUGCUGCGAUCGUUUGGUGCGUGACAAACUUCAAUCAUUUCACUAUGUUUUGGCUACAUCUUAUUCACACCUCUCACGACAAACAUUUACGAACGGGGCUUUGGCCCCAUUAAUAUUUGCCUCGGGCUAUGGCCCCAUUAAUAUUUGCCCCUUCCUUGCAUGAUUCCAAAUCUCAACGGAACGGAAGGGAAAUCACUACAGACACCCUCUUGAUUUGUCAGGUGUUUUUAUCACAGCAAUCGUGUAUGUACAUGACAUCUAGUAAAUAAUUUGUGUAAGUAGACGUAGGUGAGUUGGUCAGGUAGUAAAUCUGCUUUUUUACGCUCAAGUUUGAGUUUUAUUUUUACUAGCCUCUCUGCACGCGCUUCUGCGCAUGCGAGAGGUUUUUUUUAAAAAAAAUUUAAAUUUAUUUUAGAAUUAAAAAAGAUAAUGGAUAUUUGUGUUCCAUAAAAAUAUGAUCCAUUAUCUGAAUUUUCUUUUAAUUUUAAUUUUUUUAAUACGAAAAAUUGUGAAUUUACCAUAUUAUCCUCAUUUAAUUAAUAAUUUCAAUUCUUAAUAUUUGCAUUAACCAAGGGUAUUUUCUGGUAUUUUGAAUGUUUCACCAUUCUCUGCCUUUUGCUUUAUAUAUAUAGAUAAAUUAGAUUAAUUUAAACUAUCAUUUGCAUAUAAAUAAAAUAAAAAAAGAUAAUUUGUGUAAUCUCAUAUCUUUCGCUCAACACAUAGCACAUCGCAUUAUAAAAAUCAGAGGAAUGCUAUAAGACAGUGUGCGUCAAGCAUUAGAUUUAUGUGGAUUCAAAUUAUGGAUCUCAUUACUAUCGACAUUUGAGAGUUCACUUAGGCAAAUACAUUCACGCAUGCAACUCUCUCUAUUAUAACUUUGAAAACAAAAGAAGAAAAAAAAUAAAAAAUUCAAAUUGUAUCGUGUUACAAUUGAUGGUAAUGAGUUGAUUAUAUGAUCAGCUAAUCAUAUAUAAUUAAAAAUAUAUAUAUAGAAACAAAAAUAUACAACAAGAAAUGUAAAUUUUCUUUUACUAUUAACACGUAUGUCUGUCAUGGGACACUUCCCUUACAGGUUUACGCAAACAAAUAUGAACACAAAUCAAAACAAACGUUCAAAAUAAAACCCUAUAUGGAAAAUAAAAACUAAUAAUGUUAUGUAGGACAAGCUUCCCUAAUAUACGCUUAAUCAUGUUAAUUGCCGAUCAAUCACCAAUGUGUAUCAAGUGAUUGAUCCUAGCCGUAAGUGAACACCGAACACUGCGACGCCGGCCUCGACAGCUCCGUUCCCGCACUGGCCGGGCACGCCUCCAUCCCCACCUGGGGCACCAUGCAGUUGUAACUCAAGCACAACGACACCGUAUCGGGCAACAUCGACCCCGGCUCAACAUGGAACCCGGAUAAGUAAUUGUGCUGUAAAUACAAUGUUCUGGUGGUGCCCACGUACACGCUCUUAACGUACUCCCUCGGUACGUUCCCAAUCAGACGGUUGUUAUUCAAAAACAAGCUCUCCACCCCCGCCAGGAUCGGCGACAGCUCACCCGUUAUGGAGUUGUGGCUCAAAUCCACGAUCGAGCCCUCGCCGUAGGAUGGGGGCUGGGACUCCACGGGCGGGACCCACCCGGAGAGAUUGUUCCGUUGCAACAGCAGCGACUGGAGUGUGGUACGGAACAGAGUUUGAGGGAGGGGUCCACUGAGACGGUUCAUGCCGAGAUCGAGGUGGACUACAUCGGCGAGCGAGUCGAAGAGGGAGCCGAUGGGACCCGACAUUUCGUUUUCCGAGAACGACAAGUAACGGAGCGUCGUCGGGAGAGAGGGCGGUAAGGGACCGGUGAGCUUGUUGCGUUUUAAGUCCAGGUGAAGGAGUUGAGACAACACGUCGUGCGGCAGCUCGCCGGAGAGGGAGUUGGAGGCGAGGAUGAGGACUUUCAGAGCCGGUAAACGGGUCAGACCCGAGGGGAUUGACCCGGUGAGCCGGUUGUAGCUGAGGUCGAGGGUGUGGAGGUUGGAGAGGAGAGAGAUGGUCUGGGGAAUCGGACCGGUGAGGCGGUUGUUGGUUAACGAGAUGACUCGGAGGUUGGCGAGUCGGCCGAGUUGGAACGGGAUUGGACCUGUGACGAUUCCGGGGAAGAGGAUGAGCUGAGUCAACUCGGUGAGGUCGGCGAGGGAGGGAGGGAGCGACCCGGCGAGGCCGGGCGAGUCGGAGAGGCCAGUGCCGAGAGUGAGGGUGGUGACUCGGCCGGAGGUGCAGGUGACGCCGGAGAAGGUGGAGCAGGGAUCUGGUGCGGCGAAGUCCCAGGUGGAGAAGAAUGCUGUGGCACCUCGGAAGGGGACAUCGGUGAGGGAGUUCUUGAUGGCGGUGAGGGCGUGGAGAUCGACGGUGCUGAUUUUCUGGUUUUGUUGUUGAUGCGACGGUGGAGUGAGAUUGAGAAGGAGGAGGAGGAGAAGAAGAAGUGGAAGUGGGAGUGAGGAGUGUGCAUGUUGUUUGGCCGCCAUGACCAAAAAACCACGAGAGAGAGAGAGGAAGUCAAAAUUGGUGCGGUUUCAUGUAAACCGUAAGAAUGGGGUAUGAAGUGAUGAUGGAUGUAACCGUUGCCUUGCGUAAUGGCGUUAUGGCCCAACCCAUUUAUUUGAGUCACCUUUCUUGGACUUAUUAUAAGAGCGCUAGUUACUUCAUUUACUCGCUACAAUAAUUACCACUGACUACAUCUUUCACACCUGUAGAACCUUACUUGCACACAGUGUGGAUGAAUCUCACUCCAUUGCUUGAGACAGUCGUACCUCUCAAUUGUUAAUGCAUGUGCGGUUCGAAUUUCAUCAACGAUUGAAAAUCACUUACUCGUAUGUGUGAUUAUUUUCAAGCGAAAUCAAUGUGUAUAAUUUGAGUGUUUUACCCCUCGAAUUAAACUGAGAAUAGUGGUCCUCUGAGUUGGGCAACUUUUGAGGUGCAUAAAAUAUGUCCUCUAGGAUCACUCUUCGCCACUUUUGGUGGUUAGGACUUAGGGGUUGGUUAAUUGGUUGGACAACUUAGACUAAAAGUACUACUACUUAAGUGUUAGGCUUGGCUUUGCUGUCAACCUUUUUUUAGCAUUAUUACUUAAAAAAUUAAGAAACGUUUUUGCAAUUAAGAGAUUGAUGGAAUCAUAGUAAUGAAAAGCAGAGAAAGUUCACCCACCAUGACCAUUGACCAUGCUCUGUUCUCUUGUAAAUUCAGGUUUGAAUCUUUGCUGCCUGCACCAUUUUGUUCUUUUAGAGCAUGCAGAGCAGAUGGAUCUAAAAGAAAAAGACCCACUUGGGCCACUUCAUGCUUCAAAGAGCAAACUCUUUUCUUCCCAUUUCCCAACCAAUAUACAUAAAAAUGUAAGUUAAUUAGUGAUUAGAGCUAGCAAAACCAAGCACUUAGCACUAAUCCACACACCUGGUAGACUUGUUUACUGACAGUUAGUGAAUGACCUAAACUUAAUGCAGACAAAAAGUUGAUGAAAAAAAAAAAAAAAACAAGAAGAAGAAAAAGACCAGAGUCUAGCUGCUACACCGAUCACUGCUUCCCAACUUAGCUAUUAGUUAAUGGGAUGUCUUUAGAUGCACAUGGGGAGAGGUGUGGGCAAACAUCAAUAUUCACCCCAACAGUGGUCAAACUAUGCACGUACAAUAUUCUAAUUUUACCCAUAAAAUACAUUAGCAUAUAUAUAACACAUUGUUUAUUGCCAUUAAAUUAGGCACCAUGAUGCAUAUAUAGAGAUCCAUAGACAGCUCAGAUGGAAACUUCGUGACGCCACUGCGGGAAAGAUUCUCCCACUCCUCACUAAUUUAAUUUAUAUUGGGCAUUUUGUAGAUGUAGGUUAGGCUGAGUUAGAUCAGUUGGUAAUGGCAGUGAAUCCGUUCUCUUGCACUUAAGUUUGAAUCAAUGUCUUUGUAAAUUAGAUUAAUUUAGAAUAAAUUAUCGCUUGUAUCAAAAGUUCAUAUUGGGCAUUUAAGUGAGUACCAUGAGACAAGUAUUACCAAAAUAGAGUCAUUCUAUAAUGAGGGCUUUAUAUAUGGCCCUUAGAUGAGAUUCUAUCUUUAAUUGUUGAAUUAAAUUAAUUAAUUUUAUUCAACAAUUAAGAGAUAAGACAUCACGUAAAAGUUAUAUACAAGGCCCUCACUAUAGAAUUCUUGGACCAAAAAGAAAGAAAAAAGAAAGUUUUGAAGGAAGUUGAGCUUAGGCAGCUUUACGUGGGUGUGUAUAUAAAAGUUGACGACCCACCAAUGGAUUAUGGAUGGUCCACUGCUUUAGAGAAAAUGUUUUGGUGGAUCUUUCUCAAGCAGUGUGGGUAGGUCCAGUGCAAUUUUGUAAAAGGCUGCAAAAUGAGCAUGCCGCAUGUCCAAUAUAAUGAAGGAAUGAAUUGGAACUCAAGGAAUAUCUAGCUACCAUCACUACUAAGUUAGGAUUUUAAGUUGGUUUUUUAAGGCUACUUUUUGGGGUAAAAGAGCUCGAGACAAAGCUUGCAUGUUAUGCUAUGGGUUUUUUUUGUUUUUUUUAUUUAUUUUUUAUACGAAUGAUAUUGGGAAGGGAGGAAUCUAAUCUAGGACCAUAAGUGCAAAGGGGUAAAAUGUGAAGCCAGAAAAUUUGAGAUGUUAAGGUGGGUUGGGCCUCCAAAUGGCUCGGGUCCUACGUGCGUGGGAAUAUAUAUUGGGCUUUAUUUUCUUGAAGUCUACCAACAUAACCCUAAACAAAUUUAGGAAAAUAUAUGCAUGCAUGGUUUUAUCCUUCUCAAAACCGUUCAUAAAAAUUUACAAAUGCAGUAGAGGAUCGAGGAAUUCAAACCAUAAAUGCAGUUCCCUAUGGAGAGCUGAAAAUGCAGGGGUGAUCUUUGGUUCCAGGAAUAAAUAGUGAAACCAUUCUUCAACGAAAUGCUCACAGAGCUUCUAAACCAAUGAUUAUCCCCUCUUUCCCUAAUAACCAACAUAAGACAUCUAAACCAAAUGAAGAAAUGCUUUUACUAUCUAAACUAUCAACUCUCACUCACAUCACAUACCGAUGCUCAAAUGAAUUAUUACCACAAAGCCUUUCCCUAGCAUUGGUCAGUAGUAACACAAGCACAUUAAUCAUUUCCCUCUCUUUUCAACUUCUGACAUGUCAAAAAGAGAACAUUUCGUAAACAUACGCAGCCCGCACGCAAGCACACAGUCCUACACUACAUAUAUAUGUCCAUGAUUUUCUCAUAUUAGAAUCCUCUGAGAUGAGUGCCAGACUUUGUGCUAGGACCACCAACACAGUGCUAGCUGACCUCCCUCUUCCCUCGUCAUAUCAUCCUUGUAAUCCUGUUUAAGCAUCGAUUGAGCCGCUUGGUUGUUCGCACCAAUCACUGCAGCCUUCCAGCCAGCAUAGUUUCCACUAGGGUCACUCAAGUAAAGUUGAAAACCGAAAUUCUUGUCCCCAACCCGCAAACAAAAAUGAAACACCAAAGGGCCGGAGACCACCAAACUGUGUGUAGCCCUGCUUAGUAUCACAAAGAGAUUGAACAAGCUGCUCAACGGGCAUUGGUUCUUGGUACGCAAACAUAUAGCGCUGAGCCUGGACCCUAGAAGUGUUUAUCAGGAUGUUGGCAUCAGACAUUAUGCCAGCCACAGCACAAGCAACAUGAUCAUAAAUCUUGUGUUGGAUAUUUAUUCAUUAUUGUUAUUUGAUUUAUUUAGUUAAUUUGCUUCUGCUAAUAAUCCCUAUUUACCAGGAAACAUGGUUAGUGUUUGACCUGAUCUUUAGGAGAAUCCCAAUAGUCUAGGGUUGUUAGACGUGAGAUAUUUUGUUGCUUAAUUUUCUGAUUACUUGUUCCCUGUACGACUAUUUAUGCCAGUCUUUGGAGUCAAUGAAUGAUAGAACAUUCACUCAGACUUUCGCACUCUUUAGCUUUCAAAGUUCUAGUUCUUAACAUCUUGUACAUUUUCUCAGUGGAAGUUGUGGAGUGGAGGAGUUUGGAUGUGACUUUCUUCUCACCAACUAAGAUAACCCCAUCUUUUGACAAAAUCCCAAUUGCAGUACCCGCAUUUCCAAUGGCCUCCAUUGCAUACUCAACUUGGUAGAGACGACCCUCAGGGGAAAAGAUGGUUGUACGGCUAUCAUAUCUCCUAGACAUCUUUGAUAAUAACUGUGAACGUUUGUGAAAUAAUGGUAUUAAAUUUUAUCAUUUUUUUCUUCUGAGAUAAUGGUAUUCAAUUUAUAUAAGAUGAAACAAGGGAAACCCAGAAAUCCAAAUAUGAACACAGUUAAAAAUUCCAACAGCUCAAGGUUUUCUACAAUCCAACAAAGCCAAAUAGCAUCAAUUGGGUAGCAUACAUAUGUGAAAUACUGAAAAAUCACAAAUCAGAUGCAAUAAACAUUAAAAUUAAUAAUAAUCACAAGACGCAAAUUAAAAAUGAACUUGGUCGAAAUUGAGACAAUGUAAGCAGCCCCAUCGCACAAACUAAUUGAAAUGACAAUCAUACAAGAAUACGGGCCUUACCCAGUUUCGCUUGCUCUCUCUUGGUUCAGAUGCUUGACAAAGUUUACGCCUUUUGCCGCCUACUCAGCUCUCAGCUCCCUAUUCUAGUAUUCUUCUUCUUCCUCCCCAAGAAAUAACCAAGGCUUUGUUUGCUCUGGCAUCCGGGGCUCCGAGUAGGGGCCUUUGUAGAAAUUGGGUCAAAACUCUGAGGCCGAAAGUAUCGGCCUUUUUUUACACGGGUAGCCCAAACAUUGUUGCUUGCGCAGGUAACCCAAUAAUAUUCAAUUGUCUAGGCUCAACUAUUUCAGUGGACCGGAGUGUUUUUUAGGUCGAAAGUGGACCGGAGUUAAGUCCAGAUAUUUGAGGUAAAUCUUUUAGGGCUCGUUUGGUACGUCGGACUGUACUGACUAAUUUUCGUCGGAUAGUAUUAAUUUAUUUCGGAGAGUACUGACUAUUUAUCCAUAAUAUUAUAAGGCGUUUGGUGCUGUUCCGGAUAAAUAAUUUGACUAAGUUAUACUGUGUUUGGUGAUGUUUCAGAUAACAUCAUAUCAGACUAUUUAUAAAUAAAAAAAAUAUAAAAUUUUUUUUGAUAAUUUUAAUGGAAAUUGAGAUUCAAAUGACACAAAUUUUUUUUGGUAAGAUUCAUAUGACAAUAUUUGUUUUUCAAUUGUUUUUGCCAAGAUUUUUUUUCAUAUAACCCAUUAUCAUAAUUGUAGUAUCUCAUAAAAAUUCCAACAUACUCGCAUACGUUAAUAAAAACAGUAUCAAAUAAUGUAUAAUUCAAAGUGAUCACAUAUUAAGGUAAUAAGAGCAAAAGAGAAAGUUGUUCAUAAACCAAACUACAUCAAAGAGUGAAUCACAACUCCCUCGCCUCAAGUAAGAGAAAAACAAAUGCUUUUCUCAUAGCACCAUCCACUGUCAGGAAUAUUUUUUUUAUCAUUUGCUUUCUCCAAAAUUAGCCGUAGUGCCUUAAUUUGGUCAUUAAUAGACAAGUCCAUCUUUGCUUUUCUAAUAACAAUUGACAAAGAAAAAAAAAUGGUUCUUAGAAUUCAGUUUCAUACAUUUUUAAUUUUAUAAUUUUGCUCUUCUAGUCGUCAGGUAUGUAUGUAUUCAACUAAACUACCAAUACUAGCACAGUUGUUUGUUUUUGGAUGAAAACUGGCAAUACUCUGUUUAAUACCAACAAUCUAAAUAUUCCCACAACGUCGAAUCACUAUAUCACAUACAAAAAAAACAUUCGAUUAAAAAAAGUACCAAAAAAAAAAAAUUCAUAACCUAAUUUCUACUAAAAAUUUGAAAUAUAUAAAGCAUAUUGGAGAGAGUAUGAAAAAAGAGAGAAAGUGAGUGAUGGAUACCUGGAGAAGAGUGAAGAAAAUAACAUGUGGAGAAGAUAGUAGAGAACAACCCUAGGGAGAAGAAGAUGAAAAGAGCAUCUGAUUUUUUUUGUAGAACUCGUGUUCUUUUUCCCUAGCCUUAUAAUUAAGCGUGUAUUAUCUAAACCGGGGUGUGUGGGUUGUAUUAGUUAGUUAGGUAAGGAGAGUAUUAAAAGCCCAACCCGUAUAAAAUAGUCGGGUAAUUAAAUAAUACAAGUUGACACCAAACACCUGACAUAGACUAUUUACUCAUAUCCAGAGUCUAAUACGAUGUACCAAACGAGCCCUUAGCUGUUAUAAAAUAAUCUGGAAUACGUGCGAAUAUUGAGCUGCACGUAAAGUAGAUGAGACACAGUAUUUAGCGAGGUUCGGCUAUGCCUACAUCCCCGGAGAGCAGCAGUAGUAACUUUUCCACUAUGUAAAAUAAUAGGGCUACAACUUUAGAGUUUACAAUAUGUGAGGCUCACUGAAUUUUCUCUCUGCUCACUCACCCUAUUUCUUCCUUCUCUUCCUCCUUUCUCUUUCUUCUCUCUUUCCUUCUUUCCUUUUCUUCUCUCUUUCCUCCUUUCCUUUUCUUCUCCCCGUUUCCUAUCUCUUUCUCUCUUCUUCUUUUCCUCUUCUCUUUCUCUCUUCUUCUUUCUCUAUUUAUAGACAUGUUAAAUGGCACCCGUGUUUCUACAAUACACAUCCGUGAGUGUGCAGCCAAAUACUUUGCUUAAUUUUCUUUGUGGGCCCCAUAAAUGUGGGCUCCACAUGUUUCUUCUUUACAACAUUAGCAAUUUCUUUUGGAGAAAAAAGAGAGGGAAAGCCAAGGAAAGAGAAAUUUUUAAAGAAGUCAAAUGGACAAAUGCCUUGUGAUAUAUAGGUUAAAUUGUAGCUAUGGUUUCUGAAAUAUAGUCCGAGUUGUAUUUUCAUCUUUCAACUUCAAAAAUAGGUGUUUUCCAAUAGGUCUUGCAUUGCAGCGUUUAUCCUUUACGUCAAGUCUGUCUAAUUUACCUCUCAAAAAGUCAACUAAAUUGAUAAUUGUAUACCUCAAAUUGAUGGAAUUUAACGAAAUGACCAAUUUGACAUAUGUGAGAGAGUUGGAGGAUGAGUAAAACUAAAAAAAUUAGUUGAAUGAUCAAAAUGAAACCGGGUAUGACCAUUCGAUNNNNNNNNNNNNNNNNNNNNNNNNNNNNNNNNNNNNNNNNNNNNNNNNNNNNNNNNNNNNNNNNNNNNNNNNNNNNNNNNNNNNNNNNNNNNNNNNNNNNNNNNNNNNNNNNNNNNNNNNNNNNNNNNNNNNNNNNNNNNNNNNNNNNNNNNNNNNNNNNNNNNNNNNNNNNNNNNNNNNNNNNNNNNNNNNNNNNNNNNNNNNNNNNNNNNNNNNNNNNNNNNNNNNNNNNNNNNNNNNNNNNNNNNNNNNNNNNNNNNNNNNNNNNNNNNNNNNNNNNNNNNNNNNNNNNNNNNNNNNNNNNCAAAAAUCUUGAACUCCUUUUAAGAAACUUUUUUGAACCAUUAGAUUAAUAUCUAACGGUGAGUAAUCACAAUCUCUUGGACUCCUGUGGUCCAAGAGAUCAAGACUAUUAAAAAAAGAUAACACGAGCAGUUAUGUUUCAUAAAAGUAGGAUCUAUUAUUUAUUUUAAUUUUUAAUUUUAAUUUAUUUUAAUAUGAAAAAAUAUAAAUUUACUAUAUUAUUCUCAUUUAAUUAAUAAUUUCAAUUCUCAAUUCUUAAUUAUUAUCCUCAUCGAAGUGUUGCCUUGGCUGCUGCUGAAUUGGUUUAUAUAGCUAAAAUGUUUAAAGACAUUGGCUUCUUUCUAGGCACUCCUCCUCUUCUCUGGGUGGACAAUCAACUGCUAUUUCUUUGGCUUCUAAUCGUGUGUUUCAUACCAGGACUAAACACGUGGAGGUUGAUUAUCACUUCACACGAGAAUUGGUGCAAAAUGAUUAAUCAGCUUCCUGACAUUUUUACAAAGUCUCUAUCUUCCUCUCUUUGUGUAUCUUCCAUCCAAGCUUUCAGUUUGUGACACUACCUUCAGCUUGAAGGGGCUGAUAGAUAUAUCUCCACAUCUAAUUCUAGCCUUUCAUUAUAGAGUUGUUAAUUUCUGUUUAGCUUUAUUUUAAUAAAUUGUAAAGCUGUCAUUAAUGUACAUCUAUAUUAUUACAAGUGUAUAUAAACAAUUCAAUGUAAUCAUUAUUGUUUAAUAAAAUGAGAAUACAAUUUUAGUUUUCUCACAAAAUAUUGAAGGAGAAUUAGAAAGUGGAAAAGUCAAGAAGUAGAGGAUUAGUGUCAGGACUUUUAGGCCUGAGGAAACAGUACUGAAGUUGACAAUGAGUAAGAGAUUCUUUGAUAUUAGCAAAACUAACACGACAAACAUGCCAAAUGUUGGGAUUUUGGGUGACUGAUUUUGAAAUUAAAAUGUUGUAGUGGUGACGUUGUCGAAAAUGUUAGGUGAGAGAAGAACAUAUCAUGUAUUCAUUUUCUAGCCAUCUAUAAAUUGUUUUUUUUAAAUAAAAACAUUAACAACAUUACAUGUAAAACUUGACCCCAAAAAUAAAUAAAUAAUUACAUGUAAAACAAUUGAGUGAUGGGGGCCAUUGCAUUAUUCCCCUUUGGAUUUAUGCAUGCAGGAGGAGCUAGUAGGCUUCGCAUUUAUGGGUAGAAUGGACAUUAUUGGACAACCUUAGGUAUGCAUAUAUAGGAAAACGUCCAAAAUCCAUAAAGUUGGGACGUACGUGGUGGUGCAUGCAUGUUGGUAUUUGAUAUUGAUAUUUUAUUCCCACCCAAAAUAUUACAAACGAAUGCAGUCAAAAAAUAACUCAAAACCAGUGCACACUCGCGUCACGUGCUUCUGCAGACACAAACUAGUAAGCAAUUCACAGAGGACAUAGCCACAGAGGGGGAGCAGAUCGAUGCAAAUUAUUAAGUUUUUCUUUAAGCCAAAAAACUCAGCACCGACAUGACUUAAUAAUUAAGAUUACCACAGUAUAUCGAUCUGAUACACUAUCAGAUAAACAAAAAACAAAACAACAAAUUACAGAAAUUGAUCCCUCAAGAAGUAGAUUUCACUUCCAAGCUUUCACAUGCUAUUAAUUAUUAGCUGACACAUAUUAUGCUAAUCAAUUAAACCACAGUGACCACUAAUUGGGAUAUUUAGAACUGUGCUGUGGUGAUGAUCAACUUCAACUAUGCAGGGCACUGGAAUCCAGAGGGUGGAGUUUUCCCACAGUCAAUCAGAACCUGAAGAGCGAUGGGGAUGAUGAUGUUGAUGUUGAGAAGCUUAGCCUUGAUGGUGGUGCAAAGGCAAAUUGCAGCAUCCAAGUCCACCAGCCCUUGAAGCACUGGACAGCAUGCAUCCUUGGCACUGCUGCCAAUUCCAAUGUGAAUGAGGCCACCCAACACAUCCACACAAGCUCCCAACUUGAGAGUGUCGAUGGGACACGUGUUCUUUGGUGGUGAUGGGGUUGGCACUGGUGUUGGUGGUGGUGGAGGAGGACAUGGUGUCUCAGUGGGUGGAGGAGGCUUAACUGGUACAACUGGGGUAGGUGUAGGUGUUGGUGGGCUUGGUGGUACAACAGGUGGUGAUGGUGGUGGCUUAACUGGUACAACUGGGGUAGGUGUUGGUGUUGGUGGGCUUGGUGGUACAACAGGUGGUGAUGGUGGUGGCUUAACUGGUACAACUGGGGGCUUGGGUACAUAGGGUGGUGGGGGUUGUACAACUGGGGGCUUGGGUACAUAUGGUGGUGGUGGUUGUACAACUGGGGGUUUGGGGAUGAAGGGUGGGUGCACAAUUGGGGGUUUAGGGAUAAAAGGUGGGUGCACGAUUGGGGGCUUGGGGAUGAAGGGUGGGUGCACAAUUGGGGGCUUGGGGAUGAAGGGUGGGUGCACAAUUGGGGGUUUAGGGAUGAAGGGUGGGUGCACAAUUGGGGGUUUAGGGAUGAAGGGUGGGUGCACAAUUGGGGGUUUAGGGAUGAAGGGUGGGUGCACAAUUGGGGGCUUGGGGAUGAAGGGUGGGUGCACAAUUGGGGGCUUGGGGUGGGGUGGUGGUUUGACAAUAGGAGGCUUGGGGAUGAAGGGAGGUCUCACAAUAGGUGGUUUGGGGACAGAAGGAGGUUUUGGUAUAUGGGGAGGAUAUACAAUGGGGGGUUUGGGGCCAUGAGGUGGCUUGGGUACAUGGGGUGGAUGAGGAUGAGGUGGCUUUGAUGGUGGCUUGGGAACAUAGGGAGGCUUUACAUGAGGGGGAUGGGGUGGUUUUGAUGGUGGUUUGGGAACAUAGGGAGGCUUUACAUGAGGAGGAAGAGGUGGUUUUGAUGGUGGUUUGGGAACAGAGGGAGGCUUUACAUGAGGGGGAUGAGGUGGGUGUUUAGGUGGUUUAGGGAUGAAGGGUGGCUUUACAUGAGGAGGCUGUUUGGGUGGCAAGUGUGGAGGGUAUGUUGGUGGUGGACAGUAGGAGUUAGCAAGAGAAGUGAGCAAACUACCCAAAUUCACAAUGAGGACUAAGAGCAAAGCCAGGGUAUAAUUCCCCAUGUUCAAAACUCCACAACCCUCAAAAGAGUUGGGUUGUUUAAGACCGGAUAUUGAAACCCAACACCAUGCAAAAGCCUUCUUAUAGAGAUAUGGUGAGACAAGUUGUGAGUGAGUAUGUACAUAAGAGAGAGAGAGAGAGAGAGAGAGAGAGAGAGAGAGAGAGAGAACACAAUCCUGUACCUUUCUUUGUGGUACCAACUAAAGAUAUAUAAAACUAUUAAUCUCUGUGCAUAAUUAAUUAAUUUGUCAAAUUGCCAAGAUGCACAUUGAAUUGAGGUCUCUCCAAACUCCAAACUUCAACUUGAUCAGUAUCAAAUUCACCACAAACAAAAGGGAGGAAUUGAGUCACUUUCUUCCUUUACAUUCAGAACCAAGUAGGGCACUGCAAUCACUGACUUAAACUGUAGACAAAAGUAUUCAGCUUUUAAGGAGAAAAGGAUCAAGAAAACGCGGUUUUGUGAUAGAGGCAAGUUUUAACAUGUAGUGAGAGCCUUGCAAGUGACUAUUCAACCCGUGAUUGAGGUUUUGAUGCCAAGCCACAUGUGAGGCUUUCAUUGACAACAUUUUCUUGCAUUAAAAAAUUCUAAGGGUACAAAAGAGGCCUUAGACUUUUUCUACUUAAAGCACAUGGUUUUUCCUUUUUUCAUUUUUUGGGGGUUUUCUCCCGAAUAGACGAGUCCAUUAAUGCUACAAUGUUUUAGUCUAAGAAAUAUUCCUAUAUGAAUAGACCGUACAAUUGUAUUUGAGUGUCGGUUAUCUUAAUUUAUUAUUUUUUAUAUAAACGAUAUUGUAUUUUAAUUUAAUCCAUACUAUAAAAAGAAUUAUUUAAAUUUAGAUACAAAAUAAAGAACACAUUUGUUCUAACUAACUUAAUUAAUCCUAUGUGUGCAAUUAUUUUUUACAAUUAAACAACUCGAUUUGAUGUAGGAAUUUUCCUUGUACAAUUUAACUUGCUCGCUUUGCAAUUUCAUUUCAAAAAAGUAUAUGCAUGGCCUAGCCAUCAUGUCUUUCAAAUCAACAGCUCAUCAUAGGGCAUCUUUUUAAAAUGAGGGUAAUGCUGGCUUCACAUGCAGCUGCACAAUAAUUUCAAGAAUUAUUAAUCGUACCUAGCAUUGUUAGCAAGACAUUUAGGGCUGUAAUUAUGUGAAAAGUGAUGUUCGCCGAAUCAAUUAUAUAAGGAGAACUUACUGCAAAACAACUCUGUGUGGAACCCAUCUACUUGUUCUUUGUUUUUUUUAGGUCUGAAGUCCAUCUACUUGUUCACUCCACGCCAUUGAAGUGUAGUCUAUCUAAAAUGGUAAGGGUGCCCUAGUUUAGGCGUAAGUACUAUGUGCAGGGUUUUGGGUUUUUCUUUGUAGACAAAAACCUAGAAGUAUCAUAUCUACAUUGUUCUGACUAUUAAAAAAUUAGACAAAGGGGUAAUGAUUAUGCCAAAAUGAAUUUCAACAUCACUUUCGACCGACAAAAUUUCAUUUGCUUAUAUCGAAGCUCGUAUUGAAAUUUAUUAAUUUUAACAAAGUUAGAAUAUGUCAUCUGUCACGUAAUUUGGUGAAUAAAUUUUAUCUUUCGGUGCCUCUACAAUAUUAAAGCAUCAAAUAGUGCAAAUCAUGACAUCUUAUUUCAACGUUCAUUAACAGACCUUCAUACAAUCAAGGCAUCGGAUGCAAGUAGGGUGGUAGAUUUUUUCCCCUUUUCAACCCAAUAAUAUGAGUUAAAACAAUUAUAUGUGGAACACAAUAACACCGCUUUAAUAAUUCUAUCUAAAAGGGUAUAUGCGACAGCUGGCCAAGAGGUAUAUUCCAUGUACACAAAAUGUUACUUUCAACUACAUGCCAAUAUUUCUACAGCGAAAAUUCCAAAUCAACAUGCAAAGGGAAAAUGAAAUGGGAUGUACUUGCUGUAGUGCCUGUUUGGAUAGAAAGAAAGGAAAAGAAAAGAAAAGAAAAUUCAUUUCUUGGAGAAACCAGAAAUUGAGUUUUUCGUCCUUAUUUUCGAAGUGUCGCAAUCAAGUUUUUUUGAUAUAUUGAUGAGUCAUCCAUUGUAGAAGAAAUGGCAUCCAUCAAAACCUGCCACCAUUAAAAUCCAUGCAAAUCCACUUGUUACAAUUAUAUGAAGUCACUUGUGCAAAGCGACAUAUGAAUUUAAAGGGCGAUAAAGCCGAUGUAAUAUAUGUAGGGUCAGGCUGAGACUACUUUGUCUCCAAAUCUUUAACCAAAUCUAAUUUAACACUAAUUAUUAUUGCUCACUACAUCAAGUAAGAAAGAUUAAUAGUAUUUUUCGGUGUGAAUGCAUAAACGUAUCUGUGGAUUCUUAUUAUUUCGAUGUGAGCUUACAGCUUAGCAUAUUAACCUCACUUCAUAUAAAAAUUAUCUCCAAUCCUGAGGUCUAACUUUAUAAAAAAAAAUGAAAAUGACUUUGUAGGUCCAAAUCAAAAUGCAACGUGCCGACAAACACGGACUUAGUCAAGUUGGUUAAAGUGAAUGUGCUAUUCUCACUUUGCAUUCGAUUUCAAAUUCCCCUCCUUAUGAUUUAGAUUAGAUCUAAGUAAAACAUUGCUUAUAUAUAAAAGCAAUAUGCAGCUGUAUGCAGAAGAUUUGGUUGAAUAAUUGCUCUAUAUAAAAUAAUAGGUAAAGUACCUUGAUUAUCUUUUUUCCAACAACCCUGUUCCCUAUAUCUGCCCAUUGUUUAUAUCAUAAUCAAUCAAUUAAUUGAUUAACAACACCAAAUUCUUGAUACCUUCAGCAAAGACACGAUAUUUUCUACCCAAUUUAGUUUGUCGUUUGAAGAAAAAGAAGAAGGAAAAAAAAAACAUUUAGUUUGUCAGAUCAUAUCUUAUAGCAUGAGUGUUAUAUUUAAAACUAUAUAAGAAGGGGCAAAAUUUGGACAUACUUGGAUCAACUGUAACAAUCAUGGCAGUCCCUCCAAAAUCACAAGUGCCACCGGCAGCCCUGGUGCUCUGCCAGUAGCUGUUGAAGGCGUACGAAGCGUGGGACAACAAUGUGUCUGGUUUAUAGCAGGACCCAUUGGGCUGGAUUGACUUGCAGUCUGCACCAGACCCACACGCAUAGUCCAGGGCCUCUUGGACUAUUGGGCCAGGCACGGCUGGCUUGGCCACACACCACACCGCGCCAGACUGUGGUGGCUUUUUUCGUGGAGGGCUUGUGGGCCCUGAUGGUGGAGGGUAAGCUACAGGUGGGGCCAAGGCUGGUGGGCCUGGGAUAGGCUUGGGUGGGGAUGGAGGAUUUUUGGGUGGGCCUGGAAUUGUGGUGGGUGGGCCAGGUGGGUGAGGGGUGGGCCCAUUUGCAGGUGGUGGUUUUGGGAUGGGUGAGCAAGUGGGUGCAGAAGAUGAAGGGGAGGAGGAAGAUGAAGGAGUAUUUGGUUGAGGUGGGUUUUGGGAAAAUGGUGGAUUUGCACAGUAUGGAGGAAGAGGAACAUUUCCAGGCAAGGGAAGUGGUGCCAGUGAAUCAAAGGGUGGGAAAGAGAAGGGAGGACUUACCUCUAGUGGCUUAACAUUUGAGGAAGGCAAUGGUAAAUCUAACUCUAAGUGAUUUAUUGCUUUCAGCUUCUUCUCUAAUUCUGUGUCUUGGGAUUUUAAGAAUUGUGCAAAAAUUCUUGCAUCUGCUCUAAAACAAAGUCACAUAAUAAGUUGUUAAAAUUGUUCAAGUAGUGUGUCUUUGGAAAACCCAAAUAAAUAAAUAAAUUCUUGCUUACCACAUAAAAUGGAGAAAGUUGUGAAUGAAAUGGAGAUGAUGGCCAAUCUCAUGUAAGACAUUGUGGGCUGCAUCUCUUGAAAAGCCAAUGUGAUUAAAGGCAAAAUACCCAGAAGAAGCUGACUGAAAAUUUUGUGCUUAUUUAAUUCAUCCCUCAAGCAAACACUUGGGAUAAGUAUAUAUAGGCAGAUGCUUAGGCAGGCCAGAGAUGUGUGGGAGUGGUAACAAAAGGCGGUGGCCAUAAAGGAAAAUUAUCAACAUAGAGAGACUAAAGGAGAUUCCUGUGUCACAACUUUGUAGCCUAAGACUCAAAAAUAGUGUAAGAUAUACAACAUGCAGAGGACAAAGGUGAGGGAGAGAGAGACUAGAGAGUGUUGGUUUUGGAGAGGUGUACAAGAAACUUUUCUCCCUUUUUGCAUCUUCCUUUGAAUAUAUUCUUGCUUGGCAGUGGAGAAAUAUGAACAGUGGAGUUUUCUGCACUUUUAUUUGCUUGCUUUCCACUCAAAGUGAAACAAACUUCCACUCUGUUAAAGUAUAAGAGAUUUAGCUGAGUUUGUUACUUAAAUUAUGAGCCUUUGGAUCACAGUCCAAAUGGACAGCUAGGAUGUAUUCUUAGGUGUAGUUGAUUUGUGCCAAGUGUAGCUAUCUCAUAGGGUAGUUAAUGAUUGGUUAGAUUUGCUGAUGUAAGAGAGAAUAUUCUUUUCUUUUACUGUUAUAUUGGUAUGCACAGAUUGUGCAUGACUAAGUGUGAGAAUACAAUCUGAUAUUUUCAUCUUCUUCUUCUCCACGUUUUCUCUCUACAUUUUACUAGAGCUCCAUUCACCUAUAAUCCAAAAACAUGGCAGAUCAUAGUCUGCAAAUGCUAACAUGGUAUCACUGAGCCAGGUUUGAUCGUUUAGCUGGGCGUUUGAAUCUGUGAAGGAAGUGAGCUGCGUUUUCUAUCAAAUCUUGCUCUCUGUGAAAUCUGUGUCUAACAUGGCAGGAUCUGGAGGUGGUGAGCUGCGUGCUCCAAUCUUCAAUGGUGAGAACUAUGAAUUCUGGAGCAUAAGGAUGAAAACCAUUUUCAAAUCUCAUGGGAUUUGGGAGCUGGUUGAGAGAGGAAUAGAAGGCUCAGAUUCGAAGGGAGCUGAUGAAUCUGAUACAAAACAAAAGGAAAAAGAGGAAUCAAGUGGUUCUGGGAAGAUGGCUAUAGCUGAGAUCCUGAUGAAGGAUGCUAAGGCCUUGGGGUUGAUUCAAGGAGCAGUAUCUGAGGUGAUCUUCCCCAGGAUUUCUCAUGAAGAAUCAUCUCAUGGAGCCUGGAACAUCCUGAAGCAGGAAUUUCAUGGUGAUAAGCAGGUAAGAAGUGUAAAACUGCAGGGACUUCGUAGAGAAUUUGAAUACACUAGAAUGAGAGAGGAUGAAUCUCUAUCUGCUUAUCUUACAAAGUUGUUUGAUCUAAUAAACCAAAUGAGAGGUUAUGGGGAAGAACUAUCUAGAGAAAGAAUUGUGCAGAAAAUGUUAAUUAGUCUGCUGCCUGGAUAUGAUCCAAUCUGUUCUGUGAUUGAACAUUCAAGGGAUCUAGAUGUAAUUGAGGUUCAAGAGGUGGUAGCCUCAUUGAAGAGCUUUGCUCAAAGGUUGGAAAGACAUCAUGAGAACAAAACUGAGAAGGCCUUUGCUAGUCUGAGUACAGAUACCAAAUCUGCUAAGGCCACUGGAAAUCAGAAUUCCAAGCAGCAGAAGACUUGGAAAGACAAAGGGAAGAAGUGGGAUAAUAAACCUACGGAUGGAACUAAAACUCCUUGCAAACAUUGUGGGAAAUUGCAUUAUGGAGAAUGUAGGUUCAAGGGCAAACCAAAGUGCUAUAACUGUGACAAGCUUGGUCACAUUGCCAAAGACUGCUAUAGCAAGAAACCUGAACAGCAGCAGCAGCUUCAGUUUGCUACUCAGGUUACUUCUUCACCAACCAUGUUCUAUGCUAACAAUGCAACUGAGAAAAGGUCCAUGGAAGAGGUAUGGUACUUGGACAGUGGGUGUAGUAACCACAUGACUGGCAGAGAAGAUGUUUUGAUUGAUAUUGAUAGGAAUGUGACUGCAAAAGUUGCUAUGGGAACAGGACAGUUGGUUGAUGUUAUUGGAAAAGGAAGCCUGAUGGUUCAAACUAAAAUGGGAAGGAAAUAUAUCAAGGAGGUGCUAUUGGUAUCUGGUCUCAAAGAGAACCUACUCAGCGUUGGACAAAUGAUGGAGCAUGGAUAUUUCCUAAUUUUUGGAGAUAAUAAGGCAGAAGUCUAUGAUGAUAGCUCUCUUUCAAAUCUAGUGGCUAGAGUGGAUAUGAAAGGAAAUAGAAGUUUUCCUUUGAAACUUCAAACAGAUUUACAUAUUGCUCUAACUGCAAGCAUUAACCAAUCAACCUUGCUUUGGCAUAGGAGAAUGGGGCACUUAAACUUGCAGAGUUUGAAACUGCUGCAGAAUGAAGACAUGGUGUUUGGUCUGCCAGAAAUCAAAAAUACAAAUGCAGUGUGUGAAGGCUGUACUUUUGGAAAACACUGCAGGAAGGCAUUUCCAAAAGAAGCAACCAGCAGAGCUACAUCUCCACUGGAAUUGGUACACACUGAUGUGUGUGGACCAAUGCAAACUGUUACCAAAGCAGAAAACAGGUAUUUCCUCACCUUUAUAGAUGACUGUACAAGAAUGUGCUGGAUCUAUUUCUUGAGAUGCAAAUCUGAGGUAUUCACAGUGUUUAAGAGGUUUAGAGCCACUGUUGAAUUGCAAAGUGGAUAUAAGGUGAAGAAACUAAGAAGUGAUAGGGGAGGAGAGUACACCUCUAAUGAGUUCAAUAAAUUCUGUGAUGAAAUGGGAAUGGAGAGGCAGCUUACAGUGGCAUACUCACCACAGCAGAAUGGUGUGGCUGAGAGGAAAAACAGAACCAUAGUGGAGAUGGCCAAGUGUAUGAUGAUUGAGAAGGGCAUGCCACUUGAGUUUUGGGCAGAAACUGUUAAUACUGCAGUGUAUAUUCUAAACCGAAGUCCAACUAAAGCUCUGGACAAGAAAACACCAUUUGAAGCCUAUAGUGGGAGAAAGCCAGGACUUAAACACUUAAGAGUGUUUGGAUCUUUGUGCUAUGCACAUGUUCCAAAUCCACAGAGGCAGAAACUGGAUUCAGCAAGCAACAGAUGUGUGUUUCUAGGAUAUGGCAGCUGUGAGAAAGGGUAUAGACUGUAUAACAUUGCCACUGAAAAGGUGAUUAUCUCAAGGGAUGUGGUAUUUAAUGAAGAAGCUAGCUGGGAUUGGAAUGCAAAGCAAGAAUGCAGUGUUUCAGUGCCAUUUACUGAAGUUGUGUCUGAAAAGGAGAAAGGGAGCAAUGACACAGCUGUGAAGCAAGCAGAACAUUCAGUUGAGAAUGAAUUGCUAACAGAAGACAAUGAAGAAAGAUCUGUGGUUGAUACAGGUACUCAAGAUAUUGACCACACUCCAUUGAGAUACAAAAGUCUUACAGAGAUCUAUGAAAGCUGCAACAUCUGCAUCAUUGAACCAGAAUCCUUUGAAGAAGCUGUCAAGGAUGCAGCAUGGCAAAAGGCAAUGGAAGCAGAACUUGAGAUGAUAGAAAAGAAUGAAACUUGGGAUUUGGUAAAAAGACCAUCUGAUAAACCUAUAGUUGGUGUCAAAUGGAUCUUUAAAGUCAAGCUAAAUCUGGAUGGUUCUGUUCAGAAAAACAAAGCAAGGCUAGUAGCUAAAGGCUACACUCAAAAGCCAGGAAUUGAUUUCAAUGAGACAUUUGCACCUGUUGCUCGGCUUGACACAGUUAGAACACUGAUUGCUCUGGCUGCUCAGAAAAGGUGGAAACUGUUUCAGCUUGAUGUAAAGUCAGCCUUCUUAAAUGGAGUGCUACAAGAGGAGGUGUAUGUGGAUCAACCUCCAGGAUUUGUGGUUCAAGGCAAGGAAGACAGAGUUUAUAGACUCAAGAAGGCUCUUUAUGGUCUCAAACAAGCUCCAAGAGCUUGGUAUGAAGAAAUUAAUUCAUACUUUGCUGCUGCAGGAUUUCAGAAAAGUCCUAGUGAGGCUACAUUAUAUGUGAAAGCUGCAGAAAGUGGAAUCCUAAUUGUUUCACUAUAUGUAGAUGAUAUCAUCUACACAGGAAGCUCUAAAGAAUUGGUGAUGAGUUUUAAAACUGAAAUGAUGAAGAGAUAUGAAAUGACAGAUCUGGGAUUGUUGCACCAUUUUCUGGGAUUGGGUGUGAUACAAGCUGAGUCCUACAUCUUCUUGCAUCAGAAGAAAUAUGCAAGAACACUGUUGGACAAGUUUGGUUUAAAGGACUGUAAAGCAGUGUCAACUCCACUUGCUAUGAAUGAGAAGUUAUCCAAGGAGGAUGGAAGUGAACAGGCUGAUGAAAAGCUGUACAGACAGAUUGUUGGAAGCUUACUAUAUCUGACUGCAACAAGGCCAGAUAUCAUGUUUGCUGCAAGUCUCUUAGCAAGAUACAUGCAUGGACCUACUAAGAAACAUAUGGGAACUGCUAAGAGAGUACUUAGAUACAUUCAAGGUACUCUAGACUAUGGCAUUGCAUAUGAGAAAGGAAAAGAGGCAAUGCUGGUUGGAUAUUGUGACAGUGAUUGGUCAGGCUGUGAAGAUGAUAUGAGGAGCACAUCUGGCUAUGCCUUUCACCUUGGAUCAGGUGUUUUCUCUUGGGCAUCUGUUAAGCAGAGCAGUGUAGCUCUAUCCACUGCAGAGGCAGAAUAUGUUAGUGCAGCUGAAGCUACAGCUCAAGCAGUCUGGUUAAGGUUUGUUCUAUCUGAUUUUGGUGAAGAACAAGUUGAGGCUACAACAAUCCUAUGUGACAACACUUCUGCAAUAGCAAUAACAAAGAAUCCUGUGCAUCAUCACAGGACAAGACACAUAAGCAGAAGGUUUCAUUUCAUCCGAGAUGCUUUGCAAAAUGGUGAGAUUGAUCUGCUAUACUGCAAAACUGAUGAGCAGAAUGCAGACAUCUUCACUAAGGCUUUGGCAAGGAAUAGGUUUGAAUAUCUAAGGAGCAAGCUUGGAAUUAUUUCAGCUAAACACUUAGAAGGGAGUGUUAAAGUAUAAGAGAUUUAGCUGAGUUUGUUACUUAAAUUAUGAGCCUUUGGAUCACAGUCCAAAUGGACAGCUAGGAUGUAUUCUUAGGUGUAGUUGAUUUGUGCCAAGUGUAGCUAUCUCAUAGGGUAGUUAAUGAUUGGUUAGAUUUGCUGAUGUAAGAGAGAAUAUUCUUUUCUUUUACUGUUAUAUUGGUAUGCACAGAUUGUGCAUGACUAAGUGUGAGAAUACAAUCUGAUAUUUUCAUCUUCUUCUUCUCCACGUUUUCUCUCUACAUUUUACUAGAGCUCCAUUCACCUAUAAUCCAAAAACAUGGCAGAUCAUAGUCUGCAAAUGCUAACACACUCUCUCUCUCUCUCUCUCUCUCUCUCUCUCUCUCUCUCUCUAUAUCAGGCUCUACAUUUCUCAGGAAGCUAUUAACUUGUUAUUAAAUGGUUCCUUGGGAUUAAUAUUCCAAAAUAGUUUGACAUCCUUUCCAGCCUUAGCAAUCAUAUUUCACACACUAAUGCAUGUUUUUCAGCUUGAUGUGGUAUUAGUUGACUUCAAUAUUACAGAACUCUUGGUUCAUGCUCAUCACUGAACCUGAAACCUAGGAGUUUUUGUUUGGGAAUGUAACCAGGAAGAUCAAAAUAUACCAAACUUGGGAACGAGAGAGGUGCAUAAAACUUUUGCUCAUCAUCAAAGCUAAAUGUGUCAUCGUAGUUUGAGCAUAUUUCUUACUCUCUAUAUAUUUCAUUGCAGACACACAAGACUUUCAGUUUUAACUAAGAACAACUAAAAAGCCCACAUGAACUCCUUUGCUAGAAUUUGCUGAAAAAGAAAUUGUAAUCUUCAUUAAGCAGGCUUACAUAGGUAAAUAAAUUGUGUAGCUCUUAUUCUUGUUAUUAACUGUUAAAUUAAAAUCUCCAUGUCAUCCUGUUUUUUUUUUUUUAACUGUUUGGCAACACCACUUUGCCAUCCAUAAACUAUAACUAUUCUUCUCCCUAAGGGAAUUUUAUUAGGAAAUUACCCAUCUGGUAUGUAAAUCAUGUUUCAGAGUUCACAUUUAAACACAACCUUUAAACUUGGACAAUAAAUUAUAGGACCGUUGCCAACAACCCGACGCCAUCUAUAACAAGUGUGGCUUGAACUGUUCUUGAAUUUAGAAAGCAAAUUUAAGAAGCUCCAUUACUUAGCAUGUAAGUUUUGUUUCCGAGUUCAAUUGGAAAAAAUUAUGCUAUCGUUGGCAACUGUCCCUUGCCAUCUAUAACAAUCCAGGCUUGAACUUUUGUUGAAUUUAGGAAGCAAUUUAAUUAGCUUCACUACUCAAAAUGCAAAGGAUGUUUUUAAAUUUCAAAUUCAAACAUUAGGAAGCAAUUGAAUAAAUUAUGUGGCUGUUGCAACGGUCCCCUGCCAUAUUCGAUAUCUACCAUGUUUAUCAUUUAUGACCUGAAAAGGCAUAACAGGGCAACUAAGCUGACUCUAGUAUAAAUCUGCUCAAUUGUUCAAGUUAUCCAUCAUAUUGUGUUUGCUAAACCACAGCCUUAUUCAGGACAAUAAGAAAUAUGGCUGCAGACCCUUCCCCAAGGAUGCUAAUCACUCAUAAGGGACCCUGUGUCCGCUACAUUGCUUGGACUCCACUCUUGAAUGGUUUCUGGAAGCUCAGCUUCACAGGUCAUUACAAGCACGAAUCGAAGACUACUUCAGUCGGCUGCAUUUCUGAGAGAUCACAAUGCUGUAUUUAAAGCUGCCUUUGCGCAACAUGUAGAAAUGGUCAGCAGCUUUACAAGGGCUCAGUCGACUGCAGUCAGCUGGGCCCUUGAAUUAGCUAAAGGUGAAGGUGUCGAUUACCUUGAAAUCGAAGGAAAUCAUCCGUUUGUGUUUCGGAUGAUGUGGGGCGACAUCACCAGAACUAGCUCUAUGAUCAGGGGCUUGUUAAUAAAUGCAGAUGUGAUUUAAGACAGAUUAGGAGUGUGAGGCUCCGACAUGUCAACAUGUAUGGUAAUUUGGCUGCGAACUUGCUUGCGAGAAUUUCUUUGCAGCCUCAACAAGAGAGGUCAUGGUUUGGUGACCCUCCGGAAGAAAUAAAUGGAAUUCUAGUGAGGGAUGUGAUCGGUCGUUGGAUCGCUUUCUCGGACCUAUGAGUGAGUCAUCAUUUGGAUGACACAGAAGGACUUCGUGGAUUUCUUUCUUCAAGGAAAAAUCUGUUAAGUUGCUUUUCUUUUUGGUUAAGUAGCAGUUUGCACAUCUUUUAUUUUCAGAAAUGAAAUAUUUUGGAUUAGUGAUGAUUGUGAAGCCCUUGAUUUUUCUAAUCUCUUCCUUAAAGAAUUAAGAUGUGUGAACAUGUAACUACUAAGAACAAAAGUCAUCUGCUUAAUCUCACAUUUCAUUUUCAUUUUCUUCCUUUGUAGUUUAAUUGUAUUCCCUGACCUUUCCGGUACUGACCAUGACCCCUAUCUAUCAAAACCAAGUUCAAAUAAGGGAGAAUUUUUAAGGAGAUAUAUUGAUGACCUUGGGUGGAAUUUUUUCUUAGUAAAACUUUUAUGUGGUUUUACUCAAUAAACAAGUUACUCGUUUUACUCGACUUGAAUUUUUGCCUAUUUUGUCUAGAAUCAAUUACGUUUGAUGAUGAAACCAAUUACCAAAUAGUUCUUAAUCUAGUGAUACUUCUCUUCUCAACAAGUUACAAGGAUUCCGAACUCAAUUUAAUCACCUGUAGAAAUUACUUUGUCGCUGACAUGCCCGUGUGCCUUCAAAUGUUGAGGUCCAUUAGAAAGUGACCGUGCCUUUUAUCAAUAACAAACCCACAUGCCCAACUUGACCAACAAAUAAUAUUUUAAUAAAGUAACCGGUGCCUUUUAAGAAUGUAUUGUGGGAUGAAUUAAUGAUCUACCACAAUUAAAUGCAUUUUCAAAUAGCGAAAUAUUACAACAUCGCAGAGAGGUAUUGCAUGAUCUACCACUCUAGUUAUUCUGUUGCUGCAGUGCAGUGCAAUGCAGGUGUACAACUUAUUGUUCAACAGAAAACACAAAAUAACUUAACUUGAACUAAGUCCAUAAUAUAAAAAAGAUGAAGAGGCCAUGGACUGGAAACUCUGGAUCCAGAUGAUGUAGGGAUCAAGGGGUGUAUGGCCUUGGAAUAAGAUACAGAGGAGCUUUCUUAUGGACUGUGAGUCCGAACACUUCGGUCAUGUUCAAUGUGUCAGCCAAUUUAGUACCACCACUAGGCAACUUCCAAUCGAACCAAAACAGUAGGUUGGCAAGCACAUAUUCAGCUGAAGCAACCGCAAAGGCCAGUCCGGGGCACACCCUUCUUCCACCACCAAACGGGAGGAGUUCGAACUCUUGACCUACCAAACCGAUGGAGUUCUGCUCAAACCUCUCUGGCAUAAACUCUUCUGGCUUGUCCCAGACUCUGCGGUCUGUUUGUAUUGCGAAUGCAUUCACAAACACUUGUGUUUUCGCAGGGAUGUCGUAACCUCCCAAUUUUACAUCUGCAGUUGUUUCACGAGGAAGUAAAAGAGGACCUGGAGGAUGAAGCCUUAGAUUUUCGGUGAUUACACAUGACAAGUACUUCAUUUCCUUGAUGUCACUCUCGUCUACAUAUCCCCUUUUCCCCGCCACUCUUCUUACUUCUUCUUGGACUUUCUUCAUCACCCGUGGAUUUUGCGAAAGCUCAGACAUUAACCAUAGCAUUGAUGUCCAACUAGUAUCACUUCCCCCAACAAACAUGUCCUAAAUCAUGAAAUUAAAUAGCCAAAUCAAUCUUCAUCCAUAUAUAUUUUUAUUAGAAAAUUAGACGUAAAACCAAAAGUAUUAGGGUUUAUCAAUGUGCGCGUGUGUGUGGGUAUGCUCGUGCCUGUUCAAGAUAAAGUAAGUGAAUGAGUAUAAUGCGAGUAUGUAAGCUAGAGAGGGGGGGAUAUAGACCUGCAUAAGUCCUUUGACAUUGAACUCAAAAUCGAGCGAGCCAUCCUCUUCAAGGUCGAGGAGUAAAUCCACAAUAUCCUUCUUACGAGGCUUACCAUCUUUCUGCGCUGCUUUAUGUUCGUCAAGCAACUUAUCAUAAAAUCCAUCCAAUUCACGUCGAAUUGAUUUCAAACGUGCAAUGUAGCCUCUGGCAUGGUCAACCCAUUUCAAAGAAGGGUAGAAAUCUCCAAAGCUGAAAGUCAUCAUCUGAACCAUCAACUCCUUUAUGACCUUUUCAAACCAAUUGUCUUCUUUGUCCUCAAACUUCUGUCCAAGAACGCACCUACAGAUGAUGUUGUUGGAGGUUGACACCAGCAGCGGCCCCAGAUUGAUGGGAGCCCCGUUUGUGCUGGCGGAGGCUUUGCGAAUCUUGCUGACCAGCUCUGCACAUUCUUCCACCCUUGCGUACUGAAACUGCUGCACUCUUUUCACGCUCAGAAGCUCAAGAACAACCACUUUUCGAGCUUUUCUCCAGUACUCCCCGUAAGGAGCAAACGCAACGUUAUAGCCGUUGAAGAACAAUAUAGUUGCAGCUGUAGUUUGAGGCCGGCCAGAGAAACCAAUGUCUUGGUUCUUCAUCAUGUCCUUGGCCAGUUCUGCAGAUGAAACUACCAGCGUUGGAAGUUUGCCAAAGUGCAUGAGCAUUAUAUCACCAUACUUCUUCGACAGAUCACGAAGAGAGCGGUGUGGGAAUUUGCCUAGCUGGUGAAGGUUCCCAAUCAGAGGCAGUGUUGGUGGGGAAGGUGGCAGUUCGUAGUUUUUCCCACUUGAAGAUGAUCUUGUAAGUGAUAACAAAAUGUAUGCAGAAAGCAGGAGAAGAGGAAGCAGGAAAAUAUUGCUCUGAAGCUGUUGCCACAUUUCAUUGAAAAGUGAUAAUGCAGCCAUUGUUCUACUUUUUGCCUUUUGCUUUUGGCUGCUCACAUUAAAUUAAUAUAUGUGCCCUUCUUCUUCUUCUUUGUAUAGAGAAGCUGGCAUUGCAACUUGCAUGCGCCUACAAGGUUAGUUGUGAUCAACUUGUGAUGUCCAUGCCCCCCAAUUAUUUAAUGGGAUGCUUCGAUAUGGGUUCAUUUUUGAGUUUGCACUAUGAAUUCAGUUUAUCUUUCUUUUGAUGUAGAAUUGGGUCCAGCUCAGGCCAGCCAAGUAUGCAAAGCCUUGGCCAUUGUACAGUCAAUCCUCUGAAUUUUAUUAAUUACUGCAAUCAAUAAAUUAAUAUCACAUCUCUACGAUUAAUCUCAAUUUAUUAAAUGCUUUCAAUCUUUGAAUACCUUAUGAUGAGGUAUAUAUGUCUUUGGGUGGUUUGAUUUACCUGCUUUGCAGGUUUGUGUAUACCUCUUUCAUAGGUAAUUUCAUAUCAUAUAUCUCCUCCAUAGGUAAUUAAUAUAUACUUCCUCCAUAGAUAAAUAGCAUUCAGAUGUAUACCUCCUCCAUAGGUAAUUUACCUAUCCAUACCUAAUUAACAUUCAUGUAUAUUCCUAGUCCAUAGAUAAUUAUACCUCCUCCAUAGGACUACAAGAAGAAAAAGAAGGAAGAAGAAAGAUUGUGGGAAAUUUAGUUAUUUAUUUAUUGUAUCAGGGCAUGUUUAUGGGAUUUUCAAAAUUAAAAUGGAUGGACAAGAAAAUAUUUUAUAAAUUCAAAUCAUAAUUAACUAAAAGGUCAAAUAUAGUAAUUAUUGGCCUAAGAUUAAUUUCUCACUCUUUUAUGAAUUGCAAUCAGAAUCAAUAGUUGUAUUAAUUAGCUAAUUAUUAUGAUAUAAAUCAAUCUUCCCAAUUUAAAUCAUAAGGCAUAAUUGGAACAUGAAAAUAAAUGUAAAAAUAAAAAAUAUAUAUGAUUACAUCAUAAAAUUAGAAAAGGAAUGUAAUCCUAUGUGGCAUUAGAAGAGGACUUGGAUUACUAAUAAUACGUGUGUGGAUUGCACCCAAAUUCUACCGGAGAAAUUAUAGAAUGAUAUGGUAGUACCAUGUCAGCGUAUAGUACUCCCAUUUAAAUACAGCCACAUGUCCAUUUUAGAAAAGAAAUUAAUUACGUUUCACAACUGGACUUUUUAGUUUAAUUCUUAACUUUGGAAAUAAAAUUAGAAAAGAAAAAUUAAAAAAAGAAUUUCCUAACAGCCAACUAUCUCCUAACCCAACAACAACCCUAAUCCCAACUACCUGCUAUGAUGGCCACCCCUCUCCUUCCACUAUCUUCACCCCUGAUACUAAUUGUAGACAAGGGAUUUUAGAGGAAGGAGGAUUAAACUGGUAUUGAUGAUGAUGAAAUGGAGUAGUCUUGAUAAUUAAAAAUUGGUUCGUUCUUGAGGGUCUAUAUCUGGGUCUGAAAAUAUUCCAAGGUGGCAGUGGGUUGAAUUAACAUUGUGUAGAGUGUCAUAAGCGAAUUCAAAAAAAAUAUAUAUAUAUAUAUAUAUAUAUAGGGGAAUUAAGGAAGAUGAUGAUAUUAUUGGGUUUGGAUGUUGAUGGUUUUCAUGAGGAGCGGCGAUGGCAGUGGUGAAUAGAAAGAGAGAGGGGAGGAAGAGGAAGAGAGAAGGGUGGCUGCCAUGGUUUUUCUUCGUUUAAGUUUUCUCUUUUUCUAAUUUUAUUUCAAAACUUAAGAAUUAAUAAAGUAAAAAGUCUAGCUGUAAAAUAAUAAUGAAUUUCUUUUAUAAAAUGGACACAUGGCCGUAUUUGAGUGGGAGUACUAUACGCUAAUGUGGUAGUACCAUAUUAUUCUAUAAUUUCUCUAUUAUUAAGAAUUGGACUUAUACCAAAUUAUUUAUUAUUUAAUUAUAUACAAUAUUGAGAGAACUUGUUAGGUUCGUAACUUCACGGCCCUCCUGAAAUGAAUGUUGGGAAAUUACAUAAUGCAUUAAUUGAGCCGUUUUUACCAAAAUAAGGUGUCUUCCAAUUUUAGGUUUUAGCCUAGUUUCUUGUAUAGUUUUGUCUUUUUUAUUUUUAUUUAGUUACGUGCUUCAAUUAUUUUAUUUUUUUAUUUAUAUAAAUGAUAUUGAGGGAGGGUUUUUUCACACAUUGUAAUAUAUUAUGAGAAUUCGAACCUGAGACCAUUGAUUUGCAAGUUAAUGUCAUUUUCCACUGGGUUAGAUCUCCCUAAACCCUAUAAUAAUAAUACUCAAUUUGCCAGCUCCUAUUUAUCAUGUUUUAAUCAAGAUGAUGCUUAUCCGUCGGCUUAUGUGCUUCAUAUCUUGAUUGCACAAAGGGACUUUUUUAUUAUACGAAAUAAGAUAAUUUUUUGUUUUAAAAGUCUUGCUAUUUUUUCUCGUACCUUUCUUUGUGGUACCAACUAAAGAUAUAUAAAACUAUUAAUCUCUGUGCAUAAUUAAUUAAUUUGUCAAAUUGUCAAGAUGCACAUUGAAUUGAGGUCUCUCCAAACUCCAACUUGAUCAGUGUCAAAUUCACCACAAUCAAAAGGGAGGAAUUGAGUCACUUUCUUCCUUUACAUUCAGAACCAAGUAGGGCACUGCAAUCACUGACUUAAUCUGUAGCCAAAAGUAUUCAGCUUUUAAGGAGAAAAGGAUCAAGAAAAUGCGAUUUUGUGAUAGAGGCAAGUUUUAACAUGGAUUGAGAUGCCAAACCACAUGUGAGGCUUUCACCAACAACAUUUUCUUGCAUUAAAAGAAUCUCUAUGGGGACAAAAGAGGCCUUAAGACUUUUUCUACUUAAAGCAUAUGGUUUUUCCAUAUGAAUAGACUAAGAACCAUUCCUAUAUGAAUAGACUCGUACAAUUGUAUUUGAGUGUCAGCUAUUUUAAUAUAUUAUUUUUUAUACAAGUGAUAUUCUACUUUAAUUUAAUCUAUAUUAUAAGAAGAGUGAUUUGAACUCAGAUGCAGAAUAAAAAGCAUAUUUUUUUUUUUUGCGAAAGAAGAGCAUAUUCAUUUUAGUCAACUUAACAAAGCCCAUAUGUGCAAUUAUUUUUCACAAUUAAACAACUCAAUUUGAGGUAGGAAUUUUCCUUAUACAAUUAAAUUGCUUGCUUUGCUGCAUGCAAUUUCAUUUCCAAAAAGUAUAUGCAUGGCCUAGCCAUUAUGUCUUUCAAAUCAACUGCUCAUCAUGGGGCAUCUUUUCAAGAAAUUAUUAAUCGUACCUAGCAUUGUCAGCAAGACGUUAGGGCUGUAAUUAUGUGAAGAGCGAUGUUUGCCAAAUCAAUUAUAUAGGGAGGACCUACUGCAAAACUACUUGUUCUUUGUUUUUUUAGGUCUGAAGUCCAUCUACUUGUUCAGUCCACGCCAAUGAAGUGUAGUCUAUCCAAAAUAGGAAGGGUGCUCCAGUUUAGACGCAAGUACUAUUUGUUUUUUUUUGGUCGAAAGGCGUAAGUACCAUGUGCAGGGUUUUGGGUUUUUCUUUGUAGACAAAAACAUUGAAGUAUCUAAAACAUAAUUGUUCUGACUAUUGAAAAAUUAGACAAAGGGGAAAUGAUUCUUAUGCCAAAAUGAAUUUCAACAUCACUUUCUACUGACAAAAUUUCAUUUGCUUGUAUCGAAGCUUUCAUUGAAAUUUAUUAAUUUUAACGAAAUUAGAAUAUGUCAUUUGUCACGUCAUUUGGUGAAUAAAAUUUAAAAAAAAUGUAGUAAGAUGCCAAGCCACAUAUAGGGAUGGCAACGGGUCGGGUAGGGGUUGGGUAUGACGAUACCAUCCCCGUUCUCGCUCUCCAUCCUCGCCCCUAUCCUUGAACCCAUUCCCGUUUAAUCGGUUUCGACGAAUCCCCAUCUCCGUCCUCAUCGGGGGACUAUCCCUCCUACCCGCCCCGAAUCCCUGAUUUUUUUUGCAUAAAAAAAAUAUUUAUCAUACAUUUUUACAUUAAAUUUUAUAUUAAAUUAUCAUUCAACACAUCCAAAUUAACUAUAAAGUUCAACUAAAAAUCACAUCAAUAUGAAAUUCCAAAGAAAAUUAGGAAGAAUUAUGGGAGGGAGGUUAACUUAGGGUUAAACAUAAAUAUUGUAAUUAUAUAUUUAUUUAUUUAAAUAUAAACAUAUAUAUUUUCGGUUCGGGUUCGGAGAUGGGGACGCCAAUACCAUCCCCUCCCCAUAUUCGUCGGGGAUUUUUCAAGUUCGGGGAUCUCCAUACCCGAUACUCGUUUGGUCUCGAAAUCUCCUCUCUUUUGGGUCGAUGAUAGGGAUGGCAACGGGUCGGGUAGGGGCUGGGUGUGAUAAUACCAUCUUCGUCCCCGCUCUUCAUCCCUGCCCCCGUCCUCGAAUUCAUCCCCGUGUAAUAGGUUUUGGGGAAUCCCUAUCCCCGUUCCAGUCGGGGGACUAUCCCCCAUACUCGCCCCAAAUCCCCAGAUUUUUUUUUUGCAUAAAAAAUAUUUAUCAUAUAUUUUAAUAUUAAAUUUCAUAUUAAAUUAUUAUUUAACACAUCCAAAUUAACUAUAAAGUUCAACUCAAUCAUUCAAAAUCACAUUAAUAUGAAAUCCCAAAGAAGAUUAGGAAGAAUUAGGAGAGGGAGGUUAACUUAGAGUUAAAUAUAAAUAUUAUAAUUAUAUAUUUAUUUAUUUAAAUAUAAACAUAUAUAUUUUCGGGUCGGGUUUGGAAAUGGAGACGCCAAUACCAUCCUCUUUCCAUACCCAUCGAGAAUUUUUCAAGUUCAGGGAUCCUGUACCCGAUACCCAUUUGGCCUCAAAAUCUCCCCCCAUUAGAAUUCGGGACCCACCCUGGCGGGGAUUUUUGCCAUCCCUAGCCACAUGUGAGGCUUUCACUAACAACGUUUUCUUGCAUUAAAAGAUUCUCUAUGGGGACAAAAGAAGCCUUAGACUUUUUCUACUUAAAGCAUAUGGUUUUUCCAUAUGAAUAGACUAAGAACCGUUCCUGUAUAAAUAGACUCGUGCAAUUGUAUUUGAGUGUCGGUUAUCUUAAUUUAUUAGUUUUUAUACAAGUGAUAUUCUACUUUAAUUUAAUCUAUAUCAUAAAAAAAGGGAUUUAAACUUGAAUGCAGAAUGGGAAGUACAUUCAUUUUAGCAAAUUUAACAAAGCUCAUAUGUGCAAUUAUUUUUUACAAUUAAACUACUCAAUUUGAUGUAGGAAUUUUCCUUAUACAAUUAAAUGCUUGCUUUGCUGCAUGCAAUUUCAUUUCAAAAAAGUAUAUGCACGGCGCAGCCAUCAUGUCUUUCAAAUCAACUUCUCACCAUAGGGCAUCUUUUCAAGAAAUUAUUAAUCGUACCUAGCAUUGUUAGCAAGACAUUAGGGCUGUAAUUAUGUGGAAAGUGAUGUUUGCCAAAUCAAUUAUAUAGGGAGGACCUACUGCAAAACGACUCUGUGUGAAACCCAUCUACUUGUUCUUUGCUUUUUUUUAGGUCUGAAGUCCAUCUACUUGUUCAGUCCACGCCAUUGUAGUCUAUCUAAAAUGGGAAGGGUGCCCCAGUUUAGGCGUAAGUACUUUUUGUUUUUUUUCGGUUGAAAGGCGUAAGUACUAUGUGCGGCGUUUUGGGUUUUUCUUUGUAGACAAAAAUAUUGAAGUAUCUAAAUCAUAAUUGUUUUGACUACUGAAAAAUGAAAAAUGCUAGCAACCUUCUUUCUAACAUUUUCUUUUGGACAUUUUCUUUUCUUUGCUUGACAUGUGUCAUUCUCCUUACACUUAAAACAAUGUCAUUAAUAUAUUAUACAAGCUAACUUUUGCUUUUCAAGUUUACCCUUAUUAAAUGUAUUUAAUUUAUUCAAAAAAAAUUCAGAACUUUCUUACAAUAUCUUAACAUUGAAGUAUCUAAAUCAUAAUUGUUUUGACUAUUGAAAAAUUAGACAAAGGGAAAAUGAUUCUUAUGCCAAAAUGAAUUUCAACAUCACUUUCGAUCGACAAAAUUUCAUUUGCUUAUAUCGAAGUUGGCAUUGAAAUUUAUUAAUUUUAAAAAAAUUAGAAUAUAUCAUCUGUCACGUCAUUUAGUGAAUAAAAUUUUUUAAAAAUCUUUCGGUGCCUCUAUAUUAUUAAGGCAUCAAAUAGUGCAAAUCAUGACAUCUUAUUUCAAUGUUCAUUAACAGACCUUCAUACAAUCAAGGCAUCGGAUGCAAGUAGGGUGGUCCCUUUCUCAACCCAAUAAUAUGAGUUCAAACAUUAUAUGUGGAACACAAUAACACUCCUUUUAAUCAUUCAAUCUAAAAGGGUAUAUGCGACAGCUGGCCAAGAGGUAUAUUCCAUGUACACAAAAUGUUACUUUCAAUUUCAACUACAUGCCAAUAUUUCUACAGCGAAAAUUCCAAUUAAACAUGCAAAAGGAAAAUGAAAUGUGAUGUGAUGUACUACCUAGGGCUCGUCAAUGAGCCGGGCUGGGUUAGCCAGGCCCAAAUUUAAUGGACUUGAGUCAGACCGGAAUUUUUUAGAAAAUUCAAAACCCAAGUCCGACCCAUGAACCGGACUUGAGAAAGUCCAUCGAACCAAGCCAAGCUAAGCCCAACAGGCAGGGCCUAAACAGGCCCUACUUCAUUAAAAAAAAUCGUAAACUUAAUCAUAAGGACAUUUUAGUCCAAAUUUGAGAUUAAACUCACUUAAUUCCAAUAUUUUCACAUCAAAUCAAAUUCAUAAAACACCCAAUAAAGUCAUACAACUUAUAAGAUUUUCCACAAAAAUAAUAAAACCAAGUAUUAUUUUUGAUGUUAUUACAUAAUUAGAUCGUAAUACGUUUUAAGAAAUAAUUUUAAAAAAUAAUAAGUAUCAAAAAAAUAUUUUUUUAAAGGAUGGUAUGAAUAAAUAUGCAAAUAUUUGGUGAUGUGUUCAAGAAAAGCAUGAUUAUAUUUGGUGGUACGAUUAUGUUUCGUGAUAUGAUUAUAUUUGGUGAUGUGAUAUGUUGUUCAUCUUAUUUAUAUAUAUAUAAUUGUUGAAUUAAUAAUUGACACAAAUUAAUGUGCUAAUCAUCCAAUUAUAAACUAGGAAUAAGUAAAUAAAAGUAAAUAAAAUGAAACAAAUUAUAUAUGUGAUUUAAGUGAUAUAAUCAUAAACCUAAACUCUUAAUUAUAUAUAAUUAUAUAUGUAUGCGGGCCUAACGGAUCGGGUUUUUGUGGGCGGGCCGGGUCGGGCUUUCUUGGGCUUAAUUGGACCGGGCCUAUGAGUCGGGCCGAGCUUUAGACACCCAAGCCCAAGCCUAGCCCGGCCUAAGGCGGGCCGGGCCAUCUCAAAGCUCAUAACGGGCCAGGCCGGGCUUUUUUUCGAUGGGCCGGGUGAGCCCCCAUCAGCCCAUGAGCCUGCGGGCCAAAUGAUGAGGCCUAGUACUACCUGUAGUGUCUAUUUGGAUAGAAAGAAGAAUAGAAAAUUCGGUAUAAGUCCAAUUCCUAUGAUAGAAUUUGGGUACAAUCCACAUAUUUGUUGUUAGUAAUUUAAGUCCUCUGACUUUUGUGCAAUGUAGGAUUACUUACCUCUUUUUUUUUUCAUUUCUAAGGUUUAUAUUUUAUUUUCUUAAUUUUUUAAUUUAUGUUGUGCUUCCAAUUUUGCCCCUAAGAUAGAAAUCAAGUAACCUAAAACAGUAAAAUAUCAAAAAUCGCGUUAAACAAUCCUCAUACGACAAGAAUAGAAAGAAUCGCAAAAAUCGUAUCUUUCACAAUCAAUUAUGGUCCUGUCAAGCCGUUUCUGUAAAUUUCAUGCUUCUUAAUUGCCGAGGGUUUUGGGUUUCAUUUUAGAGUUGAAUUUGCAUUUCGUCUUCUUCAAUUGCAGCCGGGGGAAUUUGCCGUCAUUUGGGGAUUCUCACCUUGCUUCUCCAUCAAUUGCAGUGCCUGUGUUCCAGGUACACUAUUAGAGGUUACCUAUGCCAUAGGUACACUGUUAGAGGUUGCCUUUAGCUGUGGAAUUAUGCUGCUAGAGAUGCAAUUAGCAAGGCUAAAACCAUGGAAAUAUGACUUCUAUGUACUAGCCAUAGCUGUUUGACUCGGCUAACCCAUUGCUUAUUCAUAUCAGCACGAUUAUUUAGAUAUCUAUGUCCAGUUCCCUUUUUAUACAUAUGACUUAUGUAAUGAGAAGUCUGCUAUUUGUAUUGUAGAUUAAUCUUAACUAAAAGCAUCUAAAAACCCAGCUGGAACAGCAGAAGUUCGCUCCUAACUAUUUCAUUUGGUGAUACAGUGUUUGAUGCAUGGUAUGUUAUAGGUUAUUUAUCAAAUUCAUAAAACUUUCUAAAUGUAGAAGCUUUAGAGGUGAUCGUGAUUGCGUGAAUUCAUUUGCUGUUUUUGGCUAGAGUUAUGAUUUGUACUAGCCCAAAUGUUUUGUGUGCAAAUGUCAUGAUCUGUACAUAUAUAUUGCAUUUAAUUUUUCCUCUCUCCCUCCUUCAUGUUAAUGACUUAAGAUUAUACUUGUGAGUUUUACAGUCAUGUUCUUGUUUUGUCCAAGCAGUUAUGUAAAUCUUCAUUUGUGCCUUCAUUAUUGUAGGGCCUUUUUCGUUCCGGCAACUACUGAUGGGUCUAGGAUGCUGUAAAGAGCCAAAUGUGUGAAAUUGUCCAGAGUCUAAGUUUAAGAAUCAGACCGUAAGAGUGCUUCGAAAAGGUAGCUGAGCCUUAGGAAACACCUUGGUCUUCUUCACCAAUGAAACCAACAGUUGCUUACAGAUAAAUUCUUGGCUUAGCUUGAGAAGCUUGUGGCAUGAAAGCUAAACAUUCAUGAAUUUAGCAUGAGAGAGAGAAAGUGUAACAUCUAGAAAAAAAAAAAAAAAAAGAAGAAGAAGAAACCUGUAAGCCAAACAUUCAUUAUUCCAUUCAUUCUUCCCCCUCUUCCCUUAGAUUCUCUUCAAAAAUCUGAUUUUGGGAUGAGUUGUUCAUCUAUUUGGGGUGAGUCACCUAGUCUAGGUUAAGGAUAUUAAUUUCUUAAACAAAGAUAAGAUUGGGGAUGAAGGGGAUGAAGGAAAUGAAAUUUGGGUGAGGCAGAGAAUGGAGAAUAGGGGGAAGAGAAGAAAAAAUUCUCUAAGGUGAGUCAAUUUAGAAUUUGUGAUUUUUAACUUUGUGUUUGUGUGUUUCUAGUGCCUUAAAGAGUAUUUUGAGUCAUUUGAGUGAUGGGGAAAUUGAAUUGGAAGAGUUUGAAUUUCUAUUUUUGGGUAGGGUGCGUAGAGUAAUUUUUCAAGUGUGGGUGUUUAUGAUUUCGGUUUCAUUUUGAGUUUUUUUAUGAGUUUUAAUGAUAGGUAUGAACUUUAGAAGAGUUUUAGAAGCUAUAGGAACAACUUGGAAGUGAUAGAAUGGUUAAAAACAACUUAGAACCAAAUCUGAAAAUUUGGAUUUUCUGGAAAUUUGCAGUCCUCGAGCCUUAUUUUGGCUCUAUUUUUCUCCCAAUCCUUUGAGUGUUUGAGGAAGACAUUUGUUGGGUUUUAAACUAGACUUGGCAAGGAACAAAACACAAUCGGUUUUGUGGAAUUUGGUUGAGUUUUUAUAGGUCAAACACAUGUGCAUAGUUUGGAAAACAAAUCUGUUUUCUGCAAAAAAAACAGCCACGAGUCCAACUUUGGAGCUAGUUUUCUCAUUCGUUUUAUCUCCUUUUGAGUAUGGUUUGUUGGGUUAGAAACUAGAGGAAAUAAGCUUCAAAACCACUACAAGUUUGCCCAAUUUUGUUAACGUUUGGCUGGUCAAAAUGUCUCACAAAGUCUGAAUUUUUAAUCUGGAAAAACGGGAAGUUGCAGAUUUUUAGGGAAGAUGAUGAACAGUAACCGAAAACAAGCCCACUCGCCACUAGCGGACCUAGUAAGGCGUAAGGAGGUGCAGAUGCACCUUCCCUCGCCGUAAAACCAUUGUAUGUGCUUUGCCCCUUUGCUCAACUGGUGUACAGAUUACCUUAUUUUCAUUUUCAACAUUUAAGUAAAUGUCUUUGUCCUUUUACUUUUAUAUAUUUUUAUAUUACUCAAUUUACUUAAGUUUACAAUGUAAAUAAGGAAGUACUCCCCAUUUGAAUUCAAAUAAAAAUACUAGAAAAUCAAAUUCCCACCAAAUCAAAAUAUGAAAAUUCGAUUUUAGUGCAAAAUAUGAUUUAGGCUAAAAAUGAUAGCCUAAAUCAAGUUUUCUAUUUGAUGUGUAAGGAAUAAAAGCCACCAAAAAUUAUCUUGAGAAAAUGAUUAUUCCGAAAAACCAUUUUUCAUACGUACUCAAUAUUACACCUCCGCUAAAAAAUUUCUGGGUCCGCCAGCGCCACUCGCGGCUCCAGUGAGUGGCGGCACGUGGUGGCUGUUUCGGCAGCCUCCGACGCCAUAUUUUUAGUCCAUUCGACUCGAUUUCUCAAUUUGCGUUCAAUGGUAUAUGUUUUGAGUCAAUCCAUGGUGGUGCAAAGUAUGGAUUGUUGUGGGGCCCACGAGACCCAAACUAGUAACUUUUGGAUAACGGGUGUAGUUGGCCUUUUUUCGGUAUUGACAGGGCAUAGGACAGAGUUUUAGAUUAUUUUGGACGAGAUUUGGCCUCUUUGGACCCCGGGUUGGUCCUAAGGGCAUUUUCGUCAUUUUCACGCAAAAUCUUUGAAAUGCAUAAAGUUGAGGUUGGACUUAGGUGAAAUAAAGUGAAGAUUACUCAAUAAUAAUUUGGAUUUGAAUUUGUUCAGGAAUUAGAUCAAAAGUGUAGAUUCGACAAUUCCGAGAAUCUCCGAAGGGUAAAUUUGGUACUUUAGCUAGUUGGACAUGAGGUAGGGUUUCCUGAUUCCCGAUGAUUGGGCUAUAUCCCUUUUAAUCUUGGUGCUUAUAUAUAAUACUAUAAAUAUGAAUAUUAUUGUUGCUUUACUCGGUGAAUAUUAUUUGAUGUUAUGUGAAUAUUAUUAUUGAUGUUCCUCCAUGGAUAUUAUUUUUUAUGUUGGAUGAAUAUAAUUAUUCAUGUGAUUAAGCCUAAUAUAUAUUAUUGUUAUUAUUUGUGUUAUUAUUCUGCAGAGAUAAAUGAGGUUUGCACUGCAUUACAUAUGCAUCAUAAAGAUAGUGGUGUUUGGGGGUGUGUGUGUGUCGUUUGAGGUAUAUCUAAGGGGUGGGAGAAGGCCUUAAAUAUAUCUGAGUAAUAAAAAUGUGAAAUAAAUUCAAGUGAUGGGAGUAGGACUUGAAUAUUGAGGUGAUGGGAGCAGGGCCUCUAAUGAAAAGUGAAAGUUGAGAAAUUCGUAAACAAAAGAAAACUGGGUUAAGGGAUGGAUGGGCGCUAGUUCAUAUUUUAAGGGUAUUCGGAGCCACAAUGGUAACAUGCAUGGUAUGGGACAUGCAGGCUUGUUGCCCUAAGGUAUGAAUUAGUAGGAUUAGAAGGGAGUGAGUUCAUGGCAUCACUGCAUAUGCAAAUUUAUUUAUCUAGUAUGGUUGUAUAAUUUCUGUAUCUUGUGUUGUUUGUUGUAUGACACUUUGAUUAACUAUGAUAGUUGACCUUGAGGGGUUUGACAGUACUCUAUUGGGUAUUAGAAUGCUCAUACCCUAAUAGAUUGUGCAGGAUUCAAGGUGAAGUUUGAGGAAACGGGUUUCAACCAAGCUACUAAACUUUUGUUGUUGAUUUGUGUAAUUAAUAAUUGUAAGUAGUCAACCAUUUGAUAAAGAUCUUAGUGUGUAUUUAACUACGAGCUACUGCGACUCUGAUUCUGUGUUAAGUAAAUUUGUAUUCAUUUGUGGCUCUUUUUCUCAUUAUAUCAUGAUUGUAGGAUUUUAUUCUUAUGACUAUGGUAUGACUCACACCCUGAUUCGGGAAUAUUCCUUAUUUUCGAAUCGGGUCGUGACAGAAAGACCAGGUUUUCUACGAGAAACAGAGGUUAAAGCAAAGGAUUUCGUGAGAAUUUGCUUAGGAGAACUGCAAAUUCUACUAAUCUCCACAGUAAGGCUAUUAUUAACAUUUGGAGAGUAGAAAAUUUGAGACUUCUCAAAACUUAUAACCUGGCUAGAAGCUAGGCAAAAUCUAUCAAGACAUCUGAUUGGGGGUGGUGAAAAUUCACCUAACCCGAGCACCUUUCGAAAAAACAAGCUCCGAGCAUGAAGAAUGGCAGCCGGGCUUAAGGAGUUGCAGCCAGGCUUGAGUAGCGACCGGCCUGAAGAAGUAUCACGGCCGACCUUGGAGAAGUUUGGCGGUCGGGUCUUGGAGUUUUCGAGAAGAACGGUCGGGCGUGAAGUUUGGCCACCGGGAAAGAAGUUUGGCAGCCGAGUCUCCAAGAGCUUGGCUGCCGAGUUUGCAUCAGCUGGAAGUUGGAGUGGCAGCCGGGCUUGGAGCAGCUAGAAUCUAGAAGAGCUGCAGCCGGGCUUCUAGUGGCCGAGGCCAUUGGAGCUAGAGUGGCCGGAACCCAGAGCUGGUGCUGGGCUGAAGAAAUCCGGAUUGUACUCAAUGCAAUCGGUUUGUGGCUUUGAGGAGCUGUAACAUUACAGCUGGAAAAGUAUGGUUAGAGAGAUUUUAGUUGGAGUACUCUUUAGUUUAUAUAUAUAUAUAUAUAUAUAAUAAAAGUGAGUGGCCAUUUAAUAGGGUUGGAGGUUUGAAAGUAAUUUGGGCCUUUAGAACUCAAGAGCUCAAAUCUCAUGAGGGUCAGCCCCAUAUAAUUCCAUGGAGCCCAGAGGUCCAAGCCUAAGCCACGGAAUCACGCCCAAGAUUUCCAGACGUCAGUGUGCACGUGACGGAAGGCCUCACAAAGAAAGAAAUCAAAGAGGUUGAUGACAAUUCAAAAUUUUCUAAAACGAGAGAAAAUCAAGCAACCAUAAUAUCUCUGCCAACGUGAUUCAUAGCUAGAAAGGAAAGAAUUUUAAAAGAGUUGAAAUUUGGCCAUUCAAUGGCUAGCUCAUGCCAAUGGGCACCCUAUAUAAACCUCACCAAACGAAGGUAGAAGACACACAUCAUUAGACACAUAAAUCUAUUUUUCGUCUCACACUUUUCUUUUCCUAGAUUUAGGGUUUUACUUUUCAAGCGCCUAGUGUAGCGAGUUCUUCCUUUUUUCUAGUGUAAGUUUAAAUUCUUGUUCAAUUUACAUUCCUUGUCUUUUAAAUUCUAGUUUGUUUCAAUUGCUUUACUUUUCAUUGUUAUCGCACUUUCAUUAAGUUUAAUUUCAAGUUUAAUUUAGUUUGUCGUUCUUAUUGUUCUUAUUUCUUUCUUGUUUAUUUAUCACCUUGAUAUAUUUUAUCAUACUUUAAUUCUCGUCUUUACAUUAUUUAUUUUACGCACUUUACUUUACUCAUUUAUCUUUAAAUUAUAUUUAAAUUUAAGCAGCUUUACUUUAUGCACUUGUUCUUCGUUUCAUUACGUUGACCUUCAAUCUUCAUCUUCACACACUCCACGUCCUUUGGUUGCUCACAUAAAGGCUUGACCCCGAAGUAGUGAAAGAACUUAUGCCAUGAGGAGGUUCUUUGCUCGGCCGAACAAUCGUUUGAUUAAAGUCAGAUCUCGGACACAACAUGCACUCACAUUCCAUUCAAGCCAAAUUCGUGGCUUGGUGGUAGCACGCCCUGCACUCAAAAAAGAAGAAGGACCAAAAGUUCCUUCCAUCGGCCGCCUUGGCCGAAAAGAGGGAAACAACAUUGCUUCAUCACUCUAGCCUGUCUUGUACUAGCUUUAGCAAAAAAGAGCAGAUCAUCCGCAAAACACAGGUGGGAGAUCUUAGGGCCAUUUCUAGAGAUAUUUCCUAAAAUAUGAGAAUUAUGAGAGAAUAUUUCUUUGUGGGUAUUUUCUAUGUAUUCUUCUCCUUGUAGGAGGUCAUAUUUAUAAUACAACGAAACCUGAAUGGGCAAGUAAAUAAUAAAUUCCUAAAUCUAUUUAGAGUAGGAAAUUAUGAAUUAAAGUAAAUCAAUUACAAUUAUAAUGGGAAUUCUUGGUGUGUAAGGAAAGUAAGUCAAUAGUCCAGAAGUCACGCCAACACUCCCCCUCACGUUGGUGCAUAGAUGUCGCCAAUGCCCAACUGAUCCAGUGAAUUGUGGAAUACUUUACUGAAAAUUGCCUUUGUCAAAAUAUCUGCCAAUUGAUCCUCGGAUAUUUUGACAAAGUGUCGAUCCACGAAAAGAAACUGAAACACUUUAGCCUCAAGCUUUUGUUUGAUAAAGUGUCGAUCCACCUGUGUUUUGGUGUGUAAGGAAAAUAAGUCAAUAGUCCACAAGUCACGCCAACAAUAUUGACAGCUCUCCACUCUUUCUUGACAACAGCCUCACUAAUCAUGUGAGAAAGUUUCUCAAGACACCAAAAACAAAUACGGUGACAGGGGAUCCCCCUCUGUCUCACUCCUCUUGCAGGAACAAAAGGCGGGGUAGCUUCACCAUUCACAAGAAUCUGGAACUAAACCGUGGAGACACAUUGCAUGAUCAAUUGGAUUGUAGACUUAUGAAGAUUGAUCUCUCUAAGAACAUACUCCAGAAAAUUUCAGUUCACUCUGUCAUAAGCUUUAAAGAUGUCAAUUUUCCAAGUGAUAAAACCUUUUUUCACUCAAAGAAAAAACAAACUUCCACUCUCUCUCUCUCUCUCUCUCUCUCUCUCUCUCUCUCUCUCUCUCUCUCUCUCUCUGUAUAUCAGGUUCUACAUUUCUCAGGAAGCUAUUAACUUGUUAUUAAAUGGUUCCUUGGGAUUGAUAUUCCAAAAUAGUUUAACAUCCUUUCCUGCCUUAGCAAUCAUAUUUCACACACUAAUGCAUGUUUUUCAGCGUGAUGUGGUAUUAGUUGAACUUCAAUAUUACAGAACUCUUGGUUCAUGCUCAUCACUGAACCUGAAACCUAGGAGUUUUUGUUUGGGAAUGUAACCAGGAAGAUCAAAAUAUACCAAACUUUUGCUCAUCAGGUAAAUAAAUUGUGUAGCUCUUAUUCUUGUUAUUAACUGUUAAAUUAAAAUCUCCACGUCAUCCUGUUUUUUUUUUUUUUUAACUGUUUGGUAACACCACUUUGCCAUCCAUAAACUAUAACUAUUCUUCUCCCUAAGGGAAUUUUACUAGGAAAUUAACCAUCUGGUAUGUAAAUCAUGUUUCAGAGUUCACAUUUAAACACAACCUUUAAACUUGGACAAUAAAUUAUAGGACCGUUGCCAAUGACCCGACGCCAUCUAUAACAAGUGUGGCUUGAACUGUUCUUGAAUUAGAAAGCAAAUUUAAAAAGCUCCAUUACUUAGCAUGUAAGUUAUGUUUCAGAGUUCAAUUGGAAAAAAUUAUGCUAUCGUUGGCAACUGUCCCUUGCCAUCUAUAACAAUCCAGGCUUGAACUUUUGUUGAAUUUAGGAAGCAAUUUAAUUAGCUUCACUACUCAAAAUGCAAAUUAUGUUUUUAAAUUUCAAAUUCAAACAUUAGGAAGCAAUUGAAUAAAUUAUGUGGCUGUUGCAACGGUCCCCUGCCAUAUUCGAUAUCUUCCAUUUUUAUCAUCUAUGACUUGAAAAGGCAUAACAGGGUAAUUAAGCUAACUCUAGUAUAAAUCUGCUCAAUUGUUCAAGUUAUCCAUCAUUGUGUGUUUGCUAAACCACAGCCUUAUUCAGUCGGGACAAUAAGAAAUAUGGCUGCAGCCCCUUCCCCAAGGAUGCUAAUCACUAAUAAGGGACCAUGUGUCCGCUACAUUGCUUGGACUCCACCCUUGAAUGGUUUCUGGAGGCUCAGCUUCACAGGUCAUUACAAGCACGAAUCAAAGACUGCUUCAGUCGGUUGCAUUAUGAGGGAUCACAAUGCUGUAUUUAAAGCUGCCUUUGAAUUAGGAGUGUGAGGCUCCGACAUGUCAACAUGUAUGGUAAUUUGGCUGCGAACUUGCUCGCGAGAAUUCCUUUGCAGCCUCAACAAGAGAGGUCUUGGUCCAGAACAAAUAAGUGGAAUUCUAGUGAGGGAUGUGAUCGGUCGUUGGAUACCUUUCUCAGACCUAUGAGUGAGUCAUCAUUUGGAUGACACAGAAGGACUUCGUAGACUUGUUUCUUCAAGGAAAAAUCUGUUAAGUUGCUUUUCCUUUUUGCUAAGUAGCAGUUUGCUUAGUAAUGAUUGUGAAAAGCCUUUGAUUUUUCUAAUCUCUUCCUUAAAGAAUUAAGAUGUGUGAACAUGUAACUACUAAGAACGAAAGUCAUCUGCUUAAUCUCACAUUUAAUUUUCCUUUUCUUCCUUCGUAGUUUACUUGUAUUCGCUGACCUUUCCGGUACUAACCAUGACCCCUAUCUGUCAAAACCAAGUUCAAAUAAGGGAGAAUUUUUAAGGGGAUAGAUUGAUGACUUUUGGGGGAGUUUUUUCUUAGUAAAACUUUUGUGGUUUUACUCAAUAACCAAGUUACUUUUUUUACUCGAUUUGGAUUUUUGCCUAUUUUGUCUAGAACCAAUUACGUUUGACAGGGAAACAAUUAUUAAAUAUUUCUUAGUCCAGUAGUACUUCUCUUCUCAAUAUUAAAAGAGAGUCGAAGUUUGAAUCCCUUCCCUAUAAACCAAAAAAAUGAUUAUUCCUGAAGCACUGACACUUUCUCAAGACUAAGCAUAUGAUAUGCGAAAUUACUUACUGACUAGGAUCUUGAUUUCUUAAGAACAAAAUGGAAAUUAAAAACCCAAAAAGCAAAAAAAAAAAAAAAAAAAAAAAAAAAAAAAAAAAAAAAAGAAGAAGAAAAAGUUAGCUGGGAGAUUAUCUGGGCGUUAAUAGAACCAAGCCAGUGGGCCAAAUCAAUCAUAUUAGAUUAUUUUGGGCCUGGGCCCGAUUAAAAAAGAUUUGGUCAGACACAUCACGUUUGUUUUUGGCCGUUGGACAUCAUAUUCAGAUGUUAUUAUAGUCAAAAGACUUUAAGAAAACACUAACACCCAAGCCAACGGUAACUUUCUUGUCUCUGUCUUCUCCUUCCCCUUUCUGUCUUCCCCUUUGCUGCUCCAAAUUCCAAUUAAAACCCCAAAACCAAACUUCACCAACACAAAAGUUCUUAGCUUUACAUCACAAAUGGCAUUAAAAGAAGCAGCUUCACUCACUUCACUGAAACAACAAGAACAAGAAGAAGAAGAAGAAAGAGAGAGGUUCAUAGUUUUGAGCAGCACUUGCAAAGUGGUGGAGUAUUUACAGCCAGUGAUGUCAAAAGAGCUUCUCUGCAAGUUUCCAGACAACUCUGCUUUCGAUUUUGACUACACUCAGAGUUCAAUAUGGUCCCCUUUGGUCCCUCGAGCUCAUGCUCCCAUGGAUUUGGACUUGGAUUUCGAUUUCAUGACGCCAAGGAAGCUCAAUUUCGAGAUGGGGUUGGAGUUGGAAAGUCAAAGCAGCAUCAAGAAAGUCAGUUCUAGUAUUAAGAAGAAGAUCUCCACCGCUGGAUUUAAUAUUAGCAGGAGUGCGUUGAAGAACAAGAAGAAGAAGAAGAAGAAGAAGAAGAGCAAGAUGGCAUUGGCUUCUGAUUUCUCUCCAACUCCUGUUAAGGUUCAUUGUAACCCCUUAGCCUCAAAGGUACUGCCUUUUUCAUCUGGGUUCUUAGAUCUUUCUUUUUUAUUUAUUUAUUUUAUAUACAUAUUUUUAUAAGCUGAAAGAAUCUGGGUUAGAGCACAAGGUUUAGAUCACUGAAUCUGAGAUUACCCUUUUGAGAUUUUCUCUGAAAAUGAUCUCAAUUUACAAGCUAUUUGAAGUAAAAAUAUGAAAUUUUUGGGGAAAGAGAUGAGAAUUUAAGGCAACCCAUAAAGAUGCAGUUGUUAGCAUCAAAGUUUUGGGAAUUUGUUUUCUGCUUUAGCGCCAAUUUCUCUGUUUUGCAGGGGAAGAACUUAGAACUAAAAUCAAUCUGGUGACUGGAUUUCUAACAUAUGAAGGUUCUGUCAUUUGUGUUCAGGUAUGGAAUAAGGUGCUAAAAGCUGCCUCUAAACAUUUCAAGAAAAAGAAGAGAGAUCCCAUGGACCAUGUGAGGCUCUCCAAUUAUCUGAGAGAUGGAAAUAUUUGAAGGCUUCCCCCAUUUGUAAUUCUUUUUUGUUUCAUUAAUUUAUUUAUUCAUUUAAUUGUCUUUUUAACCUGCAUUCUCAUUAACAGCAACAUUAUUAGCAUUUGGAGUUAAACAUUCCUCCAAAACAUUUAUGCCACUUAGAAAGAGAUUUAGUUAGAGCGGAUGUAUUUUGCACUUGGGUUUAAAUCCCUAAUUACAGAUUAGAUUAAAGUAGAACGUAAGAUUUACUCAAGCAAAGCAAACCACGCAUUCAUAAAAGUCUGCACUAAAAUUGUGACCCUGCACACAAAAUCAACUGCUUUAAUUAGAACUUGCCAACAUAACCUCAAUCAAGCUUUCAAAUGAAGCAGAUGAAGACCCCCCAUUACCAACAGCCCUCCUACACGCUCCACUCAUCUCCUGCACCUUCUUCCUCAGCUCAUCAUUACCGUCCAUCACACACCUCACAGCCCUCUCAAUCUCAUCAGCCACCACAAAAUGAUCUACACCGUCCUUUCUGUAGUUCAAUCUCAGCUCCACAGCCAGCCCCAAGUCCCUCACCAUCUGAAACGCAUUGAUCUGCUGCUCCGCAUACAGAGGCCAAGUCACAACAGGCACCCCAUGCCACAGGCUCUCCAUUAUUGAGUUCCAACCACAGUGUGACACGAAGCCCCCCACCGCCCUGUGGGCCAGGAUCUCCACCUGUGGGGCCCACCCACAUAAAAUCCCGACCCCACUGGUCCUCUCCAAGAACCCUUGAGGCAGAAACUCCUCGUGACUUGUGUGCUCCUCUAGCACCACAAACUUGCCCUUGGGCGGGUCUUUGCGCACGGACCACACGAACCUCUGCUUACUCUGCUCUAAGCCAAUAGCAAUCUCUCUCAGCUGGGCCUCAUCAAAGCUCCCAGAGCUCCCAAAGCAGAGGAACACCACUGAUCUUAAAGGCUGAUCGUCAAGCCACAUCAUGACUUUGUCAAAUUUGCUCUGAUGAUCAGAAUGCUGCGCAGGAUGCUCGCCUAUCAGGGGCCCAACUGUGUAAACAGGAGGGGUUUCACCAUCCGAAAGUGAGCCAACCGCAUGGGAUUCGAGCUGAAAAAUUGUGUUAACGAUUAUACCCUUCGUUUCCUUGAACCUCCUGGCAUGGUUUGCGAAGGAAAUGUACCCUUCGCUGCUGAAAGCAAAUGAAGGAAUUACGCUUGCAGGAACAGGGUUGACAUAACUCGGUACCACUGACUCGGAGUCCGAUUCUUUAAACACCGUGCCGACUCGGUCGUAGCGGCUCGAAAGGUGGAGCAGGAAGCCGAGAAAGCCAGCACCAGAAGUGAAGAACAGAAAUGAUGGAACCUUGAGUUCGUUGGCCACGUCGAUCAUGGUGGUGCAGAACAUAUCAACCACUAAACCAGAAACAGAGCAACUGGGCAAGACAUGGCUGGCUAUGGCUUCUCUCACAUGGUUCUUGUAGCCCUCUAUGUAGACUGUGAUGUAUUUUUCCACAGACUGUUGAAGAAACUCAAGUGGGCGGUUCACAGUGGGAAGGUCUAUGAUUUUGAUGUGGCCGUGGGAGACAGCAAGCGAUUGUGCGCUGGUGUUUGAGUUCAGAGUAGCAGAGGGUUCAAAUGGAGGUUUCAUGACCAGGAUUGUGAUUGAGAAUCGAUCACAGACAUCCAAUAAUCGUUUCGAAAACUCUAUUGCUGAUACAAGAUGGCCAACGGCCGGUGUGGGAACGAAAACCAGCUCUGCUCUCUUCAUGUUUUGUGCUGCUUUGUUUGCUCACUCUGUUGCUUUCUUGAUGGUGCAUGUUUGACAUAUAUUGAGAGCACUUGAGGUGGAUGAAGGAUGAUUGACGUCUUUCAAUUUUAUGUGGUGUAGGCCAACUCUGAGAAUAUAAAAAAAUUCCUUGUCAAAAAACAGAAGAGAGAGAGAGAGAAAUUCCCAAUGAUAAUGAGGCAUGUAAUGUGGGCUCACCGAAUCUAAGAUGAUUGUUUAAUGAAGGGAUCCGAGGUGGAUAAUGAGGCAAUCGGUCAAACUAAUCAAUUGCAUUCAUCAAUGAUAAUGAGGCAUGUAAUGUUGUCAAACUAAUAACAUUCUUCCUACUUAUCCACCACGGUGUCUUGUUAAUUAGAUGAUUGGUUUGGUUGUGUGGUGUUGUUUAAUUUAAGUCAUCGCAUUCAUCAAGCACAAGUAGUCACGAGAUUGAUUCGUGGUCCAUAAAACGCAGCCACCACCAAAGGAUGUGAUUGAUGACAUUAAUGUGAUUUGCUCAUAGUUUAUAAAACGGACUGUGCUUUUCAAUUUUUAAAAAAAUCACUUAUAAUCUCAAAAAAACAAUAAUAAAGUAGGCAUUUUGAACGAAAAUACCGCAAAAUUGCAUUUACCGAUCGCAUUUUAACCUCAUAAUUGACAUCGUCAAAACCCACCACAAAAUUAAAUAUUAUAUUUAAAAUAUAUAAUAUACAAUUCAAGAAUUAAAAAAAAUAAAAAAGAUAGCCAUUUGUUGGGCAUGCCAACACUCAUGCAUUGCUUAUGCGCCAAACCAAAGCCUGUUUUUUUCUUUAUUUUUUUAUUUUUUAUUUUUUACUUCUUUUUCUUCUCCCUCUCUCUAUUUUUUUCGAUCUCUCUUUUCUUUCUUUUUCCUUCUCCUCUUCUUUUCUCUUUCUAUUUUUCCUACUUCUUCCUCUCUCCGUCGCUUUCCAUCUCUCAUCUCUAACUUCUUCUCUACCUCUAUCUUUCUUUCUUUCUUCCUCUUUCUUCCUCUCUAUGUCUGUUUCCAUCUCUUCUCUCCCUCUUUCUUUUUUUUUAGGCCUAGUUAGGGUGGUGGAUUUUCUGGGAUUGCUUGGAUUGUUUAGGCCCAAAACAACACAAUCGGUGGAUACCGUUGUGGACAUUGACCGAUUUGCGAUUCCACCGAGUUGCGAUUAACCUCAACUCUUUGGCUGGUUUGCGAUCUCAAAUAAUGCAAUACCGCGAUUUCUCGGGCGGUUUGCGAUUUACAUGAAAUUUUGAGGUUACAGUACCACAUCCACCCCUAAGUUAGUUUUGGGGGAGAGAAAGAGAGAUCGAGAGAGAUCAUCUUCUUCUUUGGUCCAAGCUACUUUUUCUCAGCAAGGAGAUCUUCCCAUUUAAUUAAAAACUAAAUCUUUUUAUGAAAAAAAGUAGAAGAAAAAGUAGAAGAAGUAGCUACUAAAGGUGUUGUUCUUCUAGUUGUUUAUAUUCUUUGUUAUGUUGUGGAAAUUAGAAGGAAGAAGGAUAAAGGAGCGGAGAGCGACUGGGGAAGUCGCUUGGGCUGGUGUUGCUAGGGAGAGUUGGAUCUGAGUAGGGUUUUUUUUUUUUGUUUUUUGUUUUGUUUUUUUAUAUUUUUUUUAUAUAUAAUUUUAUUUUUAAAGCAUAGAGAAGAAAGAUUUUUUAUUAUUAAUUUUUCCAAUAUAUAUAUAUAAUUAAACAAGUAAUUACAUUAUUUUAUUAUAUAUUUAAUUCAGUUUAAACAAAAAAAAAAGGGUCAUUCACAUGACACAUCAUCACUUGUUGUAAAAAGAUUAAAAUACCCAUGUCACGUCAUCAAAAUUAACAGAGUUAUAAUAGAGAUAACGGAAGGGGAUAAAGUGGAACACGAAAUCACGAUCAAGGGGGGUUAAGUAGGUCAUUUUAAUUUGGGAAGAUAAAAUGAGAUUUGACCGAAGUUUCAGGGAGUACUGCAAUAAAUAGGCCAUUCUCUUAAGCAAAAUAUAAUUCUUUAUUUUUUUUCUUUUUGAAAACAUAAUCUAUAUAUAGAAAUCAAAAGGCAGAGAAUGGUGAAACAUUCAAAAUACCAGAAAAUGCCCUUGGUUAAUGCAAACAUUAAGAAUUCAAAUUAUUAAUUAAAUGAGGAUAAUAUGGUAAAUUCACACUUUUUCAUAUUUAAAAAAAUUAAAAGAAAAAGAAAAAACAGAUAAUAGAUCCUAUUUUUAUGGAACACAACUACCCAUUAUCUUUUUUAAUUCUAAAAUAAAUUUACUUAUUUUUAAAAAAAAAACCUCUCGCAAGCGCGGAAGCGCGUGCGGAGAGGCUAGUCUAUAUAUAAAGAAAAAGGCAGAGAAUGAUAAAACAUUAAAAAUACAAGAAAAUGCCACUGAUUAAUGCAAACAUUAAGAAUUAAAAUUAUUAAUUAAAUAAGGAUAAUAUGGUAAAUUCAUACGUUUUCAUAUUUAAAAAAAAUCAAAUGAUGGAUCCUAUUUUUACGGAACACAACUACCCACUAUUUUUUAAAUUCUAAAAUAAAUUUAAAUUUUUUUAAAAAAAAGCCUCUUGCAAAUAUUGAAGCGCGUGCGAAGAGGCUAGUAUUACUUAAAAAUGAAAUCUUAUGUAAGAGUCUCUUUGUAAAGUGUAAGCGUAAGAAAUGAAUUUUCGUUUCAAGCGGUUCAAUUUUAGGUGGGAAUUCGUUUGUAAAAAAUAAUAUAUAUAUAAAUUAAACAAAACUUCGGCACUAAUUGUUUUGCAAAUCAAGAACUCAAACUUCCUCCAAGUAAGGCUCCAAGGGGGAGUAUGUACGCAACGAGAUAUACACUUGAAGGGGUGAUUCUGUCCAUCCAAUUUAAAUUUUGGCUAAGGUUAAACUUCGACUAGUUUAAAAUAGAAAACUAAUAAAUUUAUCAUAUUUUCUCUUCAUAUAAUGUCAUAGUUAACGUGUGUUUAUCAAAGUAAUUAAUAUGGUCAUCAUCAUAUCAUCUCAUGUCAUAUCAAAGUAAGUAAUACAUUGCUCUAAGCAUUUUGGGGUUUAAAUUUAGUAAUUUUACACAAAGCAAGCAGAGGAAAACAGAGGCCUAGCUAACUGCCAACCAACCAAACAAUAUCACAAUCCACAAAUUAGGAGGGAAAGUUCAGCAGAGUAGCUCAUUCACCGCCUACCAUUACCAUGGCCUUCUCUGCUCUUCCUCUACCUCUCUCCACACCCUCUCCCUCCACUCAAACCUCAAUAGCCAACCCUCCUGAAAACCUCUCGUCCUCAGCCCUCCCACUCCCAAAACUCAAAACCCCAACCAUUCGCUCCCGCCUCAGCAAACUCUGCCAAGAAGGCCAACCUCUCCUUGCCCGCCAAUUGUUUGAUACUCUUCCUCGCCCAACAACCGUUCUCUGGAACACCAUCAUCAUUGGGUUCAUUUGCAACAACAUGCCCAAUGAAGCCCUUUUGUUCUAUGCCCAGAUGAAGGCCUCCUCUCCCCACAUCAAGUCUGACUCGUACACUUAUUCUUCUACCCUGAAAGCGUGCGCUGAUACCCGCAAUUUCAAGAUGGGUAAAGCCCUGCAUUGCCAUGUUCUUCGGUGCCUACCGAAUCCCAGCAGGAUUGUGUGCAAUUCACUUUUGAAUAUGUACUCUGCUUGCUAUAAUGACUUUGAUUAUUCCGAGUAUGAUUUAGUACGUAGAGUGUUUGAUACAAUGCGUAAGAGAAACGUGGUUGCGUGGAAUACGUUGGUUUCAUGGUAUGUUAAGACUCAGAGAUAUGCAGAAGCAGUCAAGCAAUUUAAGAUGAUGAUGAGAAUGAGAAUAACACCGAGUGCUGUCAGUUUUGUCAAUGUUUUCCCUGCCCUUUCCGCUAUGGGAGACUAUAAAAAUGCGAAUGUUUUAUAUGGUAUGCUUCUUAGAUUGGGUGAUGAAUAUGUGAAUGACUUGUUUGCCGUGAGCUCAGCCACAUUUAUGUAUGGCGAACUUGGUUGCCUUGAUUAUGCUAGGAAGAUUUUUGACCAUUGUUUAGAGAGAAACACAGAGAUUUGGAACACCAUGAUUGGGGCGUAUGUUCAAAAUAACCUUCCUAUUGAAGCAAUCAGCCUUUUGUUUCAAGCUGUGAAGUCAGAACAGGCUAUUCUUGAUGAGGUGACUUUUCUUUCAGCUUUAACUGCAUGUUCACAGUUUCAACAGUUGGAAUUAGCUGGACAACUACAUGCUUUUAUUAUCAAGCAUUUGAGAGUGAUGCCCGUUAUUUUACAAAAUGCAACUAUCGUGAUGUAUUCAAGGUGCAAUUCUGUUGAGAUGUCUUUCAAAAUAUUUCAUAAAAUGCCUGAGAGGGAUGUUGUUUCGUGGAAUACUAUGGUUUCUGCAUUCGUUCAAAAUGGGUUAGAUGAUGAAGCUUUAAUGCUUGUUUCUGAGAUGCAAAAGCAACAGUUUAUGAUUGAUUCCGUAACUGUAACUGCUCUACUUUCGGCUUCAUCAAAUCUUAGAAACCUGGAUAUUGGAAAGCAGACCCAUGCUUAUCUUAUUAGGCACGGAAUACAAUUUGAGGGGAUGGAAAGUUAUCUCAUUGACAUGUAUGCUAAAUCUGGUUCAGUAAGGAUUGCAGAACGAAUUUUCAAAACAGAGUAUACCCAUGAUAGAGAUCAGGCCACUUGGAAUUCUAUGAUUGCUGGAUACACACAGAAUGGGCUAACUGAAGAAGCUUUUGUUGUCUUUAGGCAGAUGCUUGAGCAGAAUCUAAUACCAAAUGCUGUCACCUUAGCAUCAAUUCUCCCAGCUUGUAAUCCAGUGGGAAACAUAGAUAUGGGUAAGCAGCUCCAUGCGUUCUCUAUCCGCCAGUACCUUGACCAAAAUGUAUUUGUCGGAACUGCCCUAAUUGAUGUGUACUCCAAAUGUGGCGCAAUCACUUAUGCUGAAAAUGUAUUUACUGGAACCCAUGAGAAGAAUUCUGUCACAUACACCACAAUGAUACUGGGAUAUGGUCAACAUGGAAUGGGUGAGAGAGCUCUCUCUUUGUUUCACUCAAUGCAGAGAUCUGGCAUUGUACCUGAUGCCAUUACCUUUGUUGCAGUCUUGUCUGCCUGUAGUUAUGCUGGUUUGGUUGAUGAAGGUCUUUCUAUAUAUGAUUCAAUGAAAAGGGAGUACAAUAUUAAACCAUUAACGGCACACUAUUGUUGUAUAGCAGACAUGUUAGGGAGAGUUGGAAGAGUGGUUGAAGCUUAUGAAUUUGUCAAAGGGUUGGGUGAAGAGGGUGAUGUGACGGAAAUUUGGGGAUCACUCCUUGGGGCGUGCAGAAUUCAUAAACAUUUUGAAUUGGGAAAGAUUGUUGCUGAGAAAUUGCUUGAAAUAGAGGCAGGAAAUGGCAAGACUGGCUACCAUGUCUUGCUCUCAAAUAUUUAUGCCGAGGAAGGAAAGUGGGAAAAUGUUGACAGAGUGAGGAAACAAAUGAGGGAAAAAGGCUUGAGAAAGGAGACUGGAUGUAGUUGGAUUGAGAUUACCGGUUUUCUGAACUGUUUUGUGUCUAGGGACCAAAAGCACCCCCAGUGUGAUGAGAUAUAUGAUAUGUUGGAGGAAUUGACUACGACGAUGAAAGAUACUGGUUAUAGGCCUUCUCUCAGUUCCCCUCUAGAUGCAAUCAUGGAGCCUAAUGAGUGAUGAAGCAUACUGGAUAAAGAAUUGUUGCCAUCUUAUGCUUUCAUUCAAUGUGGUGGACUACUUCAACAAAUCUGCUUGUAAAGUAUCCACCAUCUGGUGGUGUACUUAUCACAGCAUCCACAACUCCUUUCCAGGCUCCAUAACAAGAAGUGAUAUAUUCCGUGAAAGACAGUGUUCAUGUAACUUGCUUUGGAUCAAUCAUUUGUCCCUGUGGACACGACAGUAAUCCUUUUUCAGAUGCUUUUCCUCUAGCUCCCAAAAAGGACAUAUGGACUGGAUUAAAUGGUUCAAUCUUCGUAAAAUAAUGGAUGGUCCGGUUUGUCCCAAGGGAGAUAGCUAGUUAUGGACAACUAUUAUAUUGGCUGCUUUCUGGCAAGUAUAUUGGCAUGUCUUGUUAAUUGAUUUUAACUUCAUCUUAGGUUUAUGUUAUCCAACACGACACUUGUAUUUACAGAUGGAACUCUACUGUUAUGCUAAUUUGGAUUUUGGGCAGGUCAGCAGUUGUCCAAAGCAGGUUUUCUCAGAUGGUGCUCACGUCUGUCCAUAUGGCCUUUGGUAGUGUACUUGGACACUGGGAUCUGGGCCAGAGUAAUGUAAUAAGCUGCCAUCUCGGAAAGGCAUUAUCCAUAUUAUUCAGGUCAGUUAAAAAGCAUGUUUUUUGUCUAUAGUAGUGUUGUGCAUGGUCAUGACUCAUAAACUUAGUUAAAUGAUUCUUUGAUCUUUGAUGGAAUACCCUGCAUGAGUAGUGGCUCUUUUCUUCCAUUUGGCUUAGUAUUGAGCGUGCCCUGUAUUAUAUUGGUCGCUCUUCUUCCAAGAAGUCUUGAAAAUGUUUUAUGUUUUGUGCUCUGUAGCACUUAGAAGGCUAUUAUAACUGCUUAAAUUAUGAGACCCAGAUAUAGAACAGGCCAUCUUGACGGUUCUAUUUCACCCUCAAAUCAGACCAGUUUGCAUUUGCCCUGGGAGGAUAAAUUGGUCAAAGAAGCUAUUUUUCCUUAAAUUUGGGCCUUUCUAUUUUUUGUUUGUUUUUCUUAAUGUUGGUUUAGAACAAAAUAAUAAGUACUAGUUCCUUCAUAAACAACUAAAAAUAAUAAUAUUUCGUAUUUUUUAAGAAUAAUUUGGCAAUAAUAAUUUAAGAAGGGUGCGUGCUAAAUUGCCGAUAAGUGUAUGUAGAUAUGAAUUUGCAGCAUGAUAAAUUUUUCCCAUGAAGGCCACCAGAAAUGUUUGUUAAGGAAUUCAGUAAUGUGUUAUCUGUAAUUUAUGAGAUGAGCACGGUAUAUAUUUGUUACCUUGCAUUCUUAUACUUUAAUGUUACAUAUAUGGUUAAAAUGAAGUACAGAUACGAAUCAUGUUCUUCAGCUCCUAAAAAAUAUUAAAUUGCUCGAAUGGUUACAGAGUCACAUACCGCCAUGAACGGUAACUGUUCAUUCUUUUGGAGGUGAAAAUGGUCAUAAUUCCGAAAAUGAAAAAUUGUAAUUUGUGUCACAGGGCACCUGAGGAAAGCAUAUAUGACCGUGGGACUCUCCAUCAAGAACUUAAACAGAGAACUAUGUUUUCCUUUGGCCAUUAAAGUGAGUUCUGGUGGUACAGCCGGGCAUUUUCCUCUCUGCAGAAAUGGGAGGAAGUCGUUUGACUAGGUACUCUUAUUGAUUUAUUUACUUUGUAUAACUUCACUAUCUUCUACGCACUAUGUUUUCUUUGUUGCCAAGAUUUCACAGAUUCUUUUGCCAAUUUUAAAUUUGUUGUGCUGUGCGGAGAUGAUUCUUCACCUUUUUACUUAAAAGACCAUAUGAUUUUAUGAAAAUUCUAUGGUAUUGGACUUUACCGCUUUGCCCCUUUUCCGUUUGAAGAUGAAAUCCAAUUGCUUGCUUACUUUCAUGUUAACUAUAAGCACCGUUGCGUGGUAAUCCAGGAUUCAUCAGGGCUCACAAACCAAUGGUCGGAGGGCCCCCACAUUUGUUCUUUAGUUUGGUCUCUAAGUCUUUCUGGAAACUACUUCCUCAACAAGACAACACGAAAGCUUUGGGACAAUAAGACCGACUUUUCUACAGAAUGCCAGCAAAGGCAUGACAUCACUUUCUUGGCUCGGCCAAGGAAAGUUCCAAGAAUUGAGCGGUCUAUAGGAAACACCAAAAUCCAUGUGCAUGCAUUGAUGCAGCACAUGAUAUAUAUAAAAGCUCCAGAUCGUCCUAAUCCAUCUUCACAAGUCACAAGUGAAAGCUUGAACUAGAACCAUCUCUCUAAUUUCUAUCUGAGUUCCUUCGUGUUGUCUCCAAAAUGAAGAAAGCUGCAGAGCUAGUUUUCAUUCCUUCCCCAGGUGUUGGCCAUCUCGUGUCUGCAGUCGAGAUUGCGAAGCUCUUGGUUGCUCGAGACGACCAACUUUUCAUCACAGUGCUCACCAUGAAGCUACCUUUCGACUGCAUGCCCAAGGGUACUGUUGAUGCCUACACAGACUCCAUGUCACAACGUAUCAAGUUCGUCGAUCUCCCGGAGGAAGCCAUAGAGACUCGGGGCAUCAACCCUAACCUCUUCCUCAAGUUUUUCAUUGAGAAUCAUAAGGCCCACGUUAAAGAUGCUGUCACCAAACUCACUGAGUCAGAUCAGUCCGAUUCCAAGCCUAGGCUUGCUGGGUUUGUCGUCGACCUGUUCUGCACCUCUAUGAUAGACGUGGCCGAUGAAUUUGGGGUUCCUACGUACAUCUUCUUCACGUCCAGCGCAGGGUUUCUUGGUCUCAUGUUUCACCUCCAAACCCUUCAUGAUGAGCAGAACAAGGACUGCAUUGAGUUCAAGGACUCGGACGCUGAGUUGGUUGUGCCGAGUUUUGUCAACCCAUUGCCUGCUGGAUCAGUCUUACCUGGUGUGUUUCUGGACAAGCAUGGCGCCGCUGAAUUCAUCAACCAUGCCAGAAGGUUUAGAGAAACCAAGGGUAUUUUGGUAAACACAUUCAUUGAGCUAGAAUCGCAUGCCCUUCACUCUAUUUCUGACGAGGGCAAAACUCCACCCCUGUACCCAGUGGGACCCAUACUGAACUUGAAGAGUGACGAUAACCAUAAAGGUUCGGAGAUCUUAAAGUGGCUUGAUGAUCAGCCUCCGUCGUCUGUAGUGUUCCUCUGCUUUGGGAGCAUGGGAAGCUUUGGUGAGGACCAGGUGAGAGAGAUAGCGUGCGCGCUGGAGCACAGUGGGCUUCGGUUCUUGUGGUCCCUACGCCAGGCCCCACCAAAAGGGGUGGUUGCGUUCCCAAGUGAUUAUGCAGAUCACAAGGGGGUCUUGCCGGAAGGGUUCCUCGACCGGACGGUUGGGAUUGGCAAGGUUAUACGAUGGGCUCCACAAGUGGCCAUUUUAUCUCACCGGGCAAUCGGAGGGUUCGUAUCCCAUUGCGGGUGGAAUUCAACGCUGGAGAGUCUAUGGCAUGGUGUGCCGGUUGCCACAUGGCCAAUGUACGCGGAGCAACAACUAAAUGCCUUUCAACUGGUGAGGGAUUUGGGUUUGGCAGUGGAAAUUAAGAUGAGUUAUAGGAGGGACGAUCAAGUGGUGGUGAGUGCAGAGGAGAUAGAGAGAGGAAUAAAAGAGGUGAUGGAGCAUGAUAGUGAUCAAAGAAAGAGGGUUAAGGAGAUGAGUGAGAAGUGCAAGAAAGCCUUGAUGGACGGUGGAUCCUCACACUCUUCAUUGGGUCGUUUUAUAGAUCAGCUUUUCCUUUGACUCAUUCGGGAGUCCAAUUGGUAAUUACUAGUUAAUACGAGUUUAUGAGUAUUUUUGUACUAACUUGAAAGCAAUGGAAGAGAUGACUCUACUUUUUGUAGUGGUAUUCUAAUCUACUUCGACUUCUCGGAGGCCAAGCCAACAAGCAAUUUGUUAUUUAUCAUUUUCGUCAUAGUUUUUGUUAGUUGCUGAUUUAUUAGUUGUCUUCUUUACUAUUUAUUUUUCAGUCAACUUUCUAGCUACUUAAAGACAAGAAAUUAUAGCUAAUGAACGAGUCUAAUUCGAUAAAAAAUAAUUUUAAUUUGUAGAAUAAUGUUCUUAAUUUGAACUCCUAUGAUAUGGUGGUAGUGUGUAUGUACCACCAUAUGCUAAAAAACAAAACAAAAUAUAGGCUAAGCUUCAUGGUUGGUGCUUCUUUUUUCAUUUUGCAUUUUGCCUUUUUUUCAUUUUGCCUUUUUUUCAUUUGGAUUAGACAGGAAGGCUUUCUACGAUGAUAUUUUGUCUUGCUGUUCCCCUGAAGCUCACAGCAUCUUUCUUUCAGCUGCUAUAUGCCAAAACAAUGGUCCGGUUUAUAAUGCAAUAUUCUAGUUUACUAUGACUGGUCGGGGCCCACAAAUCAUUGGCUGGGCUUCUUAGUAAUUUUAGGCUUUGUUUGAUAUUCAUAUGUGUAUAUAUAUAGUCCUAUUUUAUUGACGAAUUUUUUAAAUAAUUUUAUUUGAUGGACACUCUUUAGGUUUUUUUACGAUUUUUUUUUCAACCAUCUAAAUAAUCUAUUUUUUAAGUCCACAUUCAUAGAUUAUCCUUGCAAAUAAUUAGACGAAUCGGAAACCAUUUCGAUAUCCAAUUGUAUCCGACAAAAUCAAUGAACAUAGUGCUUCAAGAAAGUACUAAAAUUUCAAUAACUCAAUUCAAUGGUCAAAUGAUAUAGGAUUCAAGUGAUUUUUUGUAGAGAUGAUCUUUGAGUGAUUAUCUAAAAAAUAGACAGUUUGGAUUAGUAAAAUACAAUAUGGAGUGGGUCUUACAAUGGUGUUCCUCAAAUAAAGGAUCCCUCAAUAAAAGCUAUAUAUAUAUAUAUAUAUAUUGAAUUUUUAGAUUUCAAUUUAGGCGCAAAAUUUCAAGUUUUCAUAUUUCAAGUUGGGCUUACAAGAUUACAAUGAUGAUGAUGAUGCUGAUGGAGGCUUUGAACAACAACAACGAGGCCACGGCGCAGGAGGCUCUCGAGUUGUUGAUCGAAUUGGCCGGGACCUACCCUAGGUUUCUCAGUCGACAGAGAGAGUAGGUUGGGGAGGUGCGGAUCUGUAGGCAUUAAGUCCAGGUUGGGACGGGUCUAUGUGGGUGGGUUGAUGGUAGAUUUCUAAGGGUUGGGUGGGUUGAUGGUAGAUUUCUAAGGAUUGGUUCAAGGUCGGCAAUGAGAGAGAGAGAGAGAGAGAGAGAGAGAGAGAGAGAGAGAGAGGAAAAAAAAAGAGAAUGAGUUUUAUUUUUUUUUUAUUUUUUUUAUUUUUCACACAUCAUCCCCAAUUAAAUAUUCCUAAUUGAAUUUAUAUAUUUUUUAGGUCAAAAUCCCUAAUUAAAUUUAGGGAGCUUUCAUUUUAAGACAUUAUAUAGUUUACGAAUUUGGAAGAUAUGAAUAUAAUUUUACCUAAUUAGCAUAAGGCCAAAGAUAAAAAAGUAAUACCUACUUUUACCAAAAUAGAAUCAAAGAACAUUAAAAUCAUAACAUAUGUCAUUAUGCCAUUAUUAUCAAAUUUUAGUAUUUAGUUUUAAACCAAAACUUACAGCUGUCAAAACGAUAUCAAAAGACCCAAAACUUAACCAGAAACGACAGGCACUCAAAUUGAAUCAUAACCCCUUUGCGCGACCUUUCGUCUUCAACUCUAGAAACCGCUUCAACAAUUCCACAAAAUUCCCCAAAAUCUCAGACGAUCGUUUGCACCAACAACGUCAAAUAACGAUCGAAGCCAAUUCUUCAUUCUCUCUUUCAACAACAAAAAGGGUAAGGAAAUCAACGCUCUAGUACCUACUCUUCAUUCUUCGUUGUGCAAUGUGAUUUAGGUUUUGGUUUCAAAACCUCUAAAAACUAAAAAAUCACCAGAGAAAGAGAAAGAGAAAGAGCUUGCGAGAGGAACUUUUUUUUGCAUUGCAGAAAAUGAAAACUGCACAGUUUAGUUUGUAGUUCUUUAGGGUUUAGACUUUCCUAAUCGUUCCAUUUGGCAAUGAGACGAAGCUUGCGAGCGGAACUCUUUUUGGCAUCAUUUGCAAUGAGAGAAGAGAGCAUAUAACUGUUUUCUACAUAGCAAAAAACAUAAACUGCAGUGUAGUUUUUGGUUUAUUUGUAGUUCUUGUUUAACUAUGCUGAUCUUUCCAUUUCAUGUCAACUUGAUGUACAUUUUCUUUUUAUAUUUUGUGUUUGAAUUGCUCCUAUUAUAUUUCUAUUAUGUUUGACAUUUUGCGUUUUGGAUUGCUCUUUUUAAAAGAGGAAUAGCAUCAAAUAUUUCUGUUUUUUGCAUUUGCAAAAAAUGGAAACUGCAUUGUAGUUUCCGUAAAUGUAAUGCAGUUUGUAUUAAUGCAAUGCAAUGAACUACAACCUGCAUUACAGAUAACGGAAACUGCAUUGCAGUUUCUAUGAAUGCAAUGCAGUUUGAAUUAAUGCAAUGCAGUGAACUACAAUGCAGUUUCCAUUUUUUGCAAUGCAGAAAACAGAAAUAUUUGAUGCUAUUCCUUUGUAGUUCACUGCAUUGCAUUAACUAAAAUUGCAUUGUAGAUCACACGCAAUGCAGUGACUCAAAUUCUAAGACUGCCAAACGAAGGAAUAUCUGUUAAACUUGGUAAUGAUCGAUACACUGCUCCCUUCAGAACAAGGUACUUUGGAGAAAAGGGAAAACUAUCAAAAGCCAUGGUAGAAGCAGAAUUACAAAACACAAUUGCCUUGGCAAACCAACCGAAGAAAGAAAAGGCCAAGGCAAAUCAAAAGAAGAAAACAAAUAAAGGAGAAGAAAAGAAAUAAGCUGAAGAAGAAGAAGUUGACCACGACAAGGAUGUAGUCAGCCUAAUCUUGAUUUUGCUCUGCAUGACAUUCCUCUUUGCCAACUCUUCAUCCACUUUCCACUGGAAAAUAUUUGAGCACUGUGUGAAUCUAGACACACUUUUAAGCUAUUCGUGGGCAAGAGCUGUUUGAGCCUAUAUGAAUGAAUCAUUGAUCACAAAAGCAAAAGCAAAGAAGGGAGGAGAAGCCUUUAUAGGAGUUGUUUCGGGUUGCACUAUCCUAAUAUUGGUAAGUAAACAGUGGCUUAUGCAAUGCAUUUUGAGUUUUAGGUAAUGCAUUUUCCAUUUAGUGCAAUGCAGUUUCUGUUUUAUCCUAUGCAGUUCCCAACCUAAUUUAUGAUAUAUCUUGUUUUUGAAUUGUGCAGUUUCUACUGUGUGAGAGGACAAACAUCAGACAACCAAUCCUUGACAAGGAGAAAGAAACUCCUGCCAUUCUUAAAUGGGGUCUUGUGGAACUCCACACAAAAUUCAACCAAAUAAAGGACUUGAAUGACAUCGAGGUAUGCAAUAUAUUGGAUAUUUUAUUUUAAUGUAUCUUGAAUGUGAAUCCAUGCUAAAUCAUUCUCAUUGUACAUGGUAUUUUCAAAACUCCUAAUAAAUGAAAAACUACCAAGGAAGAGGGAGACCCUGUUGAGAAGGUAAUUAAAAUAUGUAUACACUGUAUUGCAGUUUAUAUUUUCUACAUUGCAGAAACAAAAAUUGCACUGCAGUAUCAGUUUCCUGCAAUGCAGUUUGCAUUUUAUCCAAUGCAGUUUCUAAAUCAUUCUCAUUGUACAGGGUAUUUUGAAAACAUAUAAAAAGAGAAAAAACUAACAGAGAAGAGGGAGACCCUCUUGACAAGGUAAUAAGAAUCUCUAAAUAGUGAAUUAUGCAUUGCAGUUUCCGUUUCUUGCAAUGCAGUUUUUGUUUUCUCCAAUGCAGUUUCUAAUUAGUUUCCGUUCAAUAUGCAAAAAAUGAAGAUGAUGAAGGAGAAUAAGGAGAAGCAGAAGAAGU
rnacentral:lncRNA from 1 species